rnacentral:lncRNA from 1 species
UUAUUAUUGCCUCUAGGGCAUAUUUCCUUCAGAGAUGUUGUCCUGCAGAACAUCUUUUAAAGAACACACCUAUAUGAGUCUGAUUGUGAAACGUCGCAAUCUAUGAGAGUAGGGUUCUCUAGUAAACUCAUGAAAGGUCUCGGAGUAUGACGCAUAAGCUCCACCCGCGGGGAAGACCCACGGUAGCCACGUAUCGGUCAAGGCUUUAUGUGAAGCUAGAUUCGCAGAAAACUUGCAGUUCAAGGCCUAGUCCACUCUUCAAGUUGCUUACUAGUGUAGCAUAGAGUUCUAGGUUGAAGUUCAACUUAACAGUAUCCACUGCAGUACCGGUAUAUAAAACAGUGUUUUGGAACCAAAGGAAAAUUUUGUGUGCCUCUGGGAUCUAGUGGGGGAUUGCUGGAAUUUUGUCUAUUUUGGGCCUAGCCCAAUAGCAGUUUCAGAAAUUCCUAAUAAAUCCUAGAGGCCCACGCAACCCAUUUGUGCAAGGCAAGAGGUGGAACUAAAGUUUAGUCCCACAUUGCUAGUUUAGAGGGAGUUGGACCUCUUUAUAAGGGAGGUUCUUUCCCCACAUGUAUGAGCAUGAGAACAAGAGGGACAUCCACGCGCGCUCCUCCUCCGCCGCCCGCCUCGGCACGGCACGGCACGGCACGACGCGGGUUGCGGGAAUGAGCCGAGCCGAUGUCUAAAUUUUUCGUUUUGCUGUAGUGGAGACUGAAUACGAACGACGCACCUCUUCGCGUUCUGCCUGUUCGCUUCGUCUCCCUCCGUUGCUUCACCUCCCGCCGCAGCCAGUUCGCGUCCUUCUCCUGUGCCUAUAUAAGAGAGGUCACUCCUCUCCAGAGAGACACACCAGAAGAUCCUCUUCCUCUCUCCACAAAGUUCCUGAGCACUGCGCUGCUGCUACGAUCUUUCCCAUCCCGACUUGCGGCGUGCACCACAGGUAUAGGCCUCCGAAACCGCACCUUUUGAGUCCUGUACGGGAGAAGGGUGAUAAGGUUUUUGGGGAGCACUCUGCGCGACUACUGACUCCUUCAUCACGGACGCUCCGGACUCCGACGACUACUUCCCCGACGACGACUUCUUCCCCAAUGUCGACAACCUCCUCGACGACAUGGCUGGCGAGGAUGUCGAUCCCAAGUCCAGUACUACUGCUGAUGUCCCGUAUGUUAUCUUCUCCUUUCUGUUCGAGGUUCUGCUACAGUACCUUGUUCUGGUGUUUGCCCUAGAUAUAUUAGGUUCUACAUCAUAUAUGCAACUACCUCUACUGUCUGCUCUAGAUUUGCUAGGCUACAGUUCAUAUUUAUAUAUGCCUUUUACCUUCUCUCUGUCAGAACGCAUGACUUAUUUUAUCUCUACUAUAUUAGUCAUGCUUUCUCUAGUUUUUCUCUUAAUAAAAUCAUUUGGUAAAUUGCUCAUAUUUCCAACAAGUCCUAGGAUAGUUCCUACCAGAGAACUCGUUGAGAUGGUACCUGGUUUUCCUGAAGGGUGGAGGAAUACCCGGCCGACAUGCAUAGCCAACAUCUCCAAGGUAGAACUUGCCGUCGGGGAUGUUGAUCUCAUCAGGUCGACUCAUGCUGUCACUGAGAAUGUUAGCAUCAUGAGCUGACCCCUCCCAGCCAGCAAGCACAUAUGUGAACUUCAGAUCAAAGUCAACAGCAGCAAGCACACUCUGUCCUGUGUAGUGAUUUCUCCGUUGUCAUCAUCCUCUUCUUCUUGGUUUCCCCGUUGCAGCAUCACCGUAUUCAGGGGGCACAUAGUUGUCAUCAUCCUCUUCUUCUUCGCUGUCUUCCAUCAUAACCCCUAUUUCUCCGUGCUUGGUCCAAACAUUAUAGUGUGGCAUGAAACCCUUAUAAAGCAGGUGGGUGUGAAGGGUUUUCGAGUCCCCACAGCUAGGGCAUGGACAACACAUAAAACCAUUCCGCUUGUUUGCCUCAGUCACUACGAGAAAAUUAUGCAUGCACUCAAUGUACUCGGAGGUGCGUCUGUUACCGUACAUCCAUUGCCGGUUCAUCUGCGUGCAUUAUAUAUAAUUAAGUGUGUCAAAAACCAUUACAGAACAUUAUGAAUAGAUAAGUGACCAAAUUAAUAGAAGUUCAUCAUCACAUUAAAACCAAACUACAUACAUAGUUCUCAUUGAACAACAUAUAGCUCUCCAGAGCAUCUAAUUAAACCAUAGAUUGAAACUAUGUAAAACAUUUCAAUGCAACAACAAAUGCGAUCAUAAUCGCAACCAAGGUAACAAUUGAUCCAACGGCAUAAUGAUACCAAGCCUCGGUAUGAAUGUCAUAUUUUCUAAUCUUUCUUAUCUUCAUGUGCAUUGCAUCCAUAUUGAUCUUAUGACCAUCGACGACAUCCACAACAUGCAACUCCAAUAUCAUCUUCUCCUCCUCAAUUUUUUUUAUUUUUCCUUCAAGUAAUUGUUUUCUUCUUCAACUAAAUUUAACCUCUCGACAAUAGGGUCGGUUUGAAUUUCUGGUUCACAUACCUCCUAGAUAAAAAAAAUCUAUGUCACGUUGGUCGGCAUAAUUGUCAUAAACAAUAAAUGAACCAAAUAGUUAUAAAAUAUAAUAUAUACCACAUCCGAAUCAUAGACAGGACGAGGACCGACGGGAGCGGAUACCAAAACCAUCGCACUAUAUAAUAACAAACAAUAAUAAAAGUAAGAAAAUUAUACAAGUAUCUAUCUAAAUCAUACAAGUAAGAAUUUUUUUCUUUUAGAAAGAAGAUAAGAACAAGAGGCUCACCACGGUGGUGCCGACGACGAGAUCGGCGCGGCCGAUCGACGGCGGUGAAGACGGGGACGGGACGUGACGGACCGCUAAAUCUAGACAAAUCUUGAGGAAAAUGGAGCUUGGAGGUCGAGCUUAGAGAGGAGUAAGCUUAAGUAGUGUGGCUCAGGCAUUUCAUCGAACACCUCAUGUGCAUAGGAGGUGAGCGAGAGCACCACAAAGCCCUCCCCUCGCUGGCGAGAAAAAAGUAGAGCAGUGGACACUACUAGAAAAAGGGCUAUAGAUGGGAUUGACACUAAUGGCGCACCAGACAAGCGGUGCGCCAUUAGUAUAUACUAAUGGCGCACCACCUUCUGAUACGCCAUUAGAGUUGAAACUACUAAUGGCGCACCUGGCCCAGGGUGCGCCAUUAGUAUCAAAUUUUUUUUAACUAGUGCGCCUGUCCAAACAUACUAAUGGCGCAUCCAGACACAGUGCGCCAUUACUAGUUGUAACUAGUAAUGGCGCACCUGCCGGAAAGUGCGCCACUAAUGUUGUUUUUUCUAUUAUAUUUUUUAUUCCCUUUUUUGCAAAACUACUAAUGGCGCACUUUUCCACCGUGCGCCAUUACUAGUUUAAACUAGUAAUGGCACACUGUGGAACAGUGCGCCAUUAGUAUGUUUUUUUUGUGCAAAACUACUAAUGGCGCACUUUUCCCUGAUGCGCCAUUGCUAUUUUUGAUACUAAUGGCGCAUUGCUUAGGAGGUGCGCCAUUGUGGUUUUGUAGGUAAGUGCCGCAGCCCGACCGUCCACCAUAUCUCUCCUCUCUCUCUCGCACGGAACCCUAUCCUCUUCUCCCUCACCCCGCACACACACACACACACGUCUCUCGGCCUCGCCCCAGCCCCGAUCCAUGCGCCAUUGUGGUUUUGUAGGCAAGUGCUCCCUCCUCUUCCUGCGCGGCGGCCCUUGCCCUCCUCUCUCUUCGGUCCCCUUCGCGCCUCCUCGCGGCAGUCGCAGCCAAGGAGCCCGAGCUCGGCGGCGACGGAUCGGAAGGCAGCGGCGGCGCUGGAUCUGGCAGUGGUGGAGCCGCCGCCGUCUCCACUCGCCGGGAACCGGCUAGAUCCGCCCCACGAGCUUCACAGGUGCCACCCCCUCCGCCACCAGCCACGGUGGCCUCCCCCGCCCCGUAUCGGCGCGGAUCCAGCCGCCAUCUCCCGCAGCAACGGCGGCCUCGCCCUGCUCCGCCCCCGCUCCUCCUCCUCCUCCUCCUCCGCCCCCUCGCCUCGCUCCCCAUCCCGGCCGCCGCGAGAGGCGGCCUCGACCCGUCUCCCUCAGGUUCUCUCCUGUGAAUUUCCUGUGAAUUUGUUUCGAUUUCAUGGGAAUUUCUGUGACAAUUAACUUGAAUCGUGGAUUUUGUUGUGGUGUGGGCGCAGGACCCGAGCAUCAAGGAGAUGGCGGAGCAGAUCGCCAAGGACCCGUCCUUCAGCGAGAUGCCCCGUAAAUCUACUGUAUGAUCAAUCAAAACACGUUUUGUCCAAAGUCCAAACUUAAUGGUAAACAAGAGGCUAAUCUUGCUAUUUUUGUUUGUUAUGCGGUUUGCACUUUCUGUUUCCUUGAACAGUUUAUAGUUCAUCUAAUUUACAUUUUUAUGUUAACUUUAGCAAUUAAUUUACCUCAAACAAGGUAAUUAAUAUGAUAAUUAUCCCCUGUGUAUACCGCAAGUAAGUAACUUACUGUAAUUAUGUUAAGAAAUUAGAAUGUUUGUGACCGACUGUUUAAUAAGAUGCUCUUUUCACAAGGUGUGAUAUUGUGGCAUAUUUACCCUGGAGCUAGCAUAUAUAUGGAGCUGACUUUGUUCCUGGAGGUGAGCAUAUAUUGUUGAUCUUCUCAUGUCAAUUGCAGCAGUUCCUUGAUUCACAAUUUAUAUAGUGUGGUAUAGUGGUUAUAUUUGGAGGUUUAUCCCUGUGAAAUAAUCACCGCAAGGUGAGUACUUUCCGCAGCUAAUGUGUUAUGCAUAAGCUCAGUGUGUUUGCUCAAUUAGCUACUGCUCAAUUAAAAUUGGUGACCUUCCAUUGAUGAUAGGUUUAGAAAUUAUGCAUUGAGUAACUGGACCUGACCUGGAGUACUUGGUUAAUUCAGUGAUCUUUUAACAAAAUUUUAACUGAAUUAUUUUGGGCAAUGGAGUACUGAAUUUUAACUGAGUAACUUGCACUUGCAUAUGCACUAGACCACUUGUAAAUUCUUUGGCUCCUCUUUAAUCUGGUGCAAUUACUUAACUAACCGUAAUAGCCCUGACACUUGUAAGUAACCAUAUCAUUCAAACAUCCAAUUAAAUCUAUUCUACUCCAUUUCCUGAGAUGAAAUUGUGAUGAUGGGAGUGACAUUAAACAGCUUGAACAUCUAAUUGUGCAUGUACUCCAUUGUUAUAUACUGAUCCAUCUUGUCUUUGCCCCAUGUUAACAUUCAAAUUGUUAAUUGCAUUCAAAGUGUUAAUUGCAGGAGCAGACACAGAGGAGGAAUCUGCUACCUCAAAGCAGUUGAUCGACGCCGGGAGGGUGGGUACGUGAUGUCGGAGGCUGCCGGGAGGGUGGUGACGAGCUACCGAAGAGAUGAGUUCUGACUCUCCUCGAUGCCAGGACGAGGCGCUGUUGCCGAUCGGACGUGGACUCGAUUGAUUUUGAUUUGAAAUAUGACGGGUUGUAAUGUAAAAUGCACUUCAGUUCAAAAUUUCCUCCCCUUGCGAGAUGUAUUCUUGGACGGAGGGAGUAGAAGAUUAGUUAUAGGAUUUUGUUUUAUUUCUGUGCAAUUUUAUUUUUAUUGGAUACUUAUAAAGACAUGGUAGUAUUCUUGCUAUAAUAAAAAUGAUGGUUCUAUUUCAUUUUUUGUUUUUAAAUUAUUUUUCCUUAUAGGUUGUUUUUUGUAAAUUUGUAUUUUUUUUGUUUUCCAAAUAUACUAUUAGUGGCGCAUUUCAGCCUUUAUUGGUGGCGCACCUAGCUUUUUAGCUAGUGGCGCACCUCUAAGGUUACUAGUGGCGCACUUGGCUUUAUUACUAGUGGGGCACCUAAGGGUUAGUAAUGGCGCACUAUUAGGUGUGCCAUUACUGUCUGGGAUAGUAAUGGCGCGUCAAAUGUGCACCAUUACUAAAACUUACUAAUGGCGUGCUAGUAAUGGCGCACCUAAUGUGCGCCAUUAGUAGCUAAAAUAGGUGCGCCAUUAAUAACCUGUUUUCUAGUAGUGGGAGUGCUCUGCUCGCGGGCGAGGGUGUAUAUAUAGGCACCUCAUUGGUCCCGGUUCGUGGCUGGAACCGGGACUAAGGCCCCCCUUUGGUCCCGGUUCCAGCCACGAAUCGGGACCAAUGGUUGUGGGCCAGGAGCGAGGCCCAUUAGUCCCGGUUCGCGUCUGGAACCGGGACCAAAGGGGACAAAUGAACCGGGACCAAUUCCCCACGAGGCCCGGCAGGCCCCCUGGGCUCACGAACCGGGACCUAUGCCCCCAUGGGUCCUGGUUCGUGACUGAACCGGGACUAAUGGGCUGGCCAAGCCUAGACCAAAGCCCUGUUUUCUACUAGUGUCCCCCGGUAUGCUGCAUACUGUGACCUAGGAACUCUGACAGUGACAUGAGUACCAUCUAUUGCCCCAAUGCAAUCCUGAAAGUGGCAUCACAAGCCUGUGUUAGUGCUCAACUUGAACAAUACAAGCAUAUCAAGCCAUGAAAAGUGUAUAUUGUCAAUGCUCACCUUGAAGUAUGGAUACCAUCUUGGGCUUCCGCGAAUCUUGGGUGGAGUCUGGCCAGAUGGUCUCCGGAUCAUCUCUCCUCUAAGCUCUCCAAUAGCAAAAAGCACCUGCUUGAAGUACCUCGAGAUGGUCUCCAUUGAUCUCAUGAACGUGUUGUGAAUGACCCUGAACCUCUGGUUAUGGCCAACAACAUGGAGUAACAUGGUCACUUGCUCUUCCACACUGGUGCUGAUGUUAUCUUGUAGCAGCCCCCUGCUCCUGAAGGUCUCGACAAGCCUGGAAAAUGGUGCUCUUUUCAUUCGAAGCAUCCACAGAGCCUCGACGUCAUUGAAGUUGUAGAUGUAGUUCAGAUUUUGGAUCCUCUCCUGUUCCCGAACAAACAAUGGACCAUAGCGGAUCAAAGGUCUCCCAGCACGACGAACAACUCUUUGGUGCAUGAACAUGACCCAUGCCUGAAUCACACUAAUCAGUGUUGCUGCCUGAAUUAUCAGCCUCAUCCGUGCGUCCAUAGCCUAGUCGACAUCGACGGUUCGUUCAGUGGGAAAUCGAUCCUACACCUAGCCUAACGGCCUAAGCACCGAUCUAACAAAGGAGGGAGGGGUGCUGCUUACCGGCAUCGGAGACGAGGACAAUGUAGGGGGAGCCAUGGCACGGACAAGGUCGACCAGACGGUGGCCAACAGCAAGGGGAGCACCAGAUCCGCCGCAAACGCCGCCGCCUCUUCCGCCGCCGCCACAGCCUCUAGCGCAGAUCUGAAAUCGUAGCCACCGCCGGUGGUGAGGUAGUAGGGAAGAAAGGGGGGGUAGUGGCUAUGGGUGAGCAAGUGAAAGGGGGAUGAGGCUAGAUUUGGCGCCGGGACGACGCGCCAGAUUUCCAUCUCCCGCCAUCUCCCCUCGCCCUCGCGUCACACCCGCCCAUGCGACCUCGCGCCGCACUCAGCCUGGCUCGCGAGAAACUGCCGAUCCGAGCGUUUCCACCGAGUCAGGCUCUGGGCUGCUUUGAGAAGCGUGCGAUGCAGGCCCAACAGUGAAUCCAGACAACCAAACAGGCCUCUUCCUUCCCGCGCGGGCCUGGUUGGGCCUCAUGCGGGCAACCAAACACGCCCCAAGUCUCGAUAGAGGAUUUUCUAGCGGAGCCGGUUUCUACCAGUGUCCUACUAGCUAAUUAAAGUGUGCCAUGUGUUCAUGUACACAUACCAGAUACGAAGUAUUUCAUUCAUUUCCUUUAUCAUAGAGAAACACUUGCAAUAUACAGUCUGAUCAAAAGCAAUGCGUUAUUGAUCAGAAACACUUGCUUGCAUAUUGUCCCUGUAGAGAAUCAUUGUGUGCAUAAUUGUAAUUGCAAUGAUGUUAUUUGUGUUCACUGAAUGAUAUACAUGGGUGUAUUAGGUUUGAGCCAGUUCAUAUGGUGGACCUGGGUUUUGGUCAUUUUAACUUGUCAGGUAUCUGGUUCAUCCUGUGUAUUGUUCAACAUAAGGUGUGUGCAAUAUUGCUGGUUUACUUGCAAGAUUCUUACCGUGUUGUUCACUUAGAGCAUCUCUAGCAGACCCCGCAUCCCGCCCCAACCCGCAAAAUAACCGCCAAAAUGCGGGUCGGGGCGGGUAAACCUGCCCGAUCAGACACCGCAUUCGCGGCCGACCCAAAUUUUUUUUGCAGGGCAUGGCAAAACAUCUCCCCCGACCUCUAGAUUCACGGGCUAGGAGGACGACCUGAGCUUAGCCCCUAUCCGCAGCGAGAUUUGGCGGGAGGGACAUUUCUGCGCGGCCGUUCUCGCUCCCCCACCCUACGCCACCAUUGCCCCGCCACUGCACGCUCCGGUGCAUCUUCCCCGGCCGUCCUUCGCCGCCAUGGAUGACUCCCUGCUGUCCCCCGUCACCGUCGAGGUCGCGCACGCUCAAUCCCCUCGGGCGGAUCUCGUCGUAGGCCAUGUUGGCCCCACCGUGGCCCAAGGUACCGCCGCGCAUGCCCGCAAGCGGCAGGGCAACAUGGCCGUGCAGGACGGGAAUCCGGUUGCCCCCGUCGCGAAGGCCCGCGCUCCGGGCGCCAACGCCACUGUGCGAUCCCGGCCGUCGGCGGAGAAGGUCGCCAAGGCCGCCGACGUCAAGAGGAAGAGGAUUCCGGCUACAAAGAAGUUGCCUCCUUCAUCCACUCCCUCCGCCCCGGAAAGAGGUGCCCUGGCGAUGCCGCUAAACGGUGCUGCCCCCCCCCCCUCGCAAGCGAGGUGUUUAACGAAAUGGCCGGAAGGUAUGCGUCUUCGGUCAUGGCAAAAUUGCCCAACAUAGAUACAAAGACAUGGAAGCUUCGGAAGGCAAAUUCUUCAGACUAGAGCAUUGUUGGGACUUGCUCAAAAAGUGCGAGAAGUGGAAGUUGAUCGACAAAGAAUCCCCACCAAAGAGAGGUUCAUUUACAAACAUGGAUGAAGAUGAGGAUGAUGAUGGCCCAAGAAAAUUGAACAAGCCCGAUGGCGACAAGAAGACUAAGGAGAAGAUGAAGAGAGAGCACGAAGCAUCAAGCUUGAGGGAGAAGAUUGAUGCCAUGGUGCAAUCAAAUGAGUUGAUGUUGUUGAAGUCGUUGGAGAUCAAGAAAGAGUUGGCCGAGAAGAAGGCAAAGGAGAAGCAAGAAAAGUGGCAAUUGCUCAAGGAAGAGGGGCUGCACAAAGCGGCCAUUGAGGAGAGAAGAGCACGUGCUGCUGAAAACAAAGCCAUGUCCAAGUUGCUCGCCGAAGAGAACAAGAUCAUGACAAUGAACCACAAUGAUAUGGACGACCUCACCAAAGAAUGGCAUGAUAUGGCAAGGAGAGAAAUCUUGAAGAGGAGAAUGGUUGCGUCGGCCAGUGCGUGUUACAGUGCCGGAGAUGUUUUCUCUGCUCCAUAUGGUGGCAAUGUCGAUGAUUUCGGUGCGGGAGUUGGAACAAGCGCCGGAGGUGGAUUCGGUGGUGGCGAUGAACUUCAAGAUGGACUCGAUGACGCAGAGUGAAGAUCGACCAAGAUGAUGCCGGACUUGGUCGCCACUUUUGCAAGACCCUCUUUUGCGUUUGUCCUACUAAACUGAAACUUUUAUUUGCGCGUAAACUGUGUUAUGUUGUUUGAAUUUGAACUUAUUUGUGGGAACCUAUGUCAAAUUUGAGAAUUGGACGUUUUCUAUUUGCGAGUCGACACGGCGGUGCCCGAGCAGACCCCGCAAAAAGCCGACCUGGAAAAAAGUAUGUUCCGCGAAUAUCCUUUUAUAUGGGUCCGUUUGGGGCUCUACAUAUGCGGCCGUCCGAGCCGGCCCGCAAAGGCCGUUUUCCACAAACUGCAAAUGCAUUUGCGGGCCGGCCGGAUGCGGGGUCUGCUAGAGAUGCUCUUACCAUAGUGAGUAACAUUUUUGUUUUGUGUUGGUUUAUGCUAGUGACAAGGACAGUAUGACUCCUAAGAUUGGUAAUUUGCGUCUGAACUUGGGCUCAUUUGCACCUGAUGAACAGUAAAUUUUAAAAAAUAUUAAAGAAAUUUGAAAAAUCCUGAACUUUUUGGCAUCAAAGAUGCUUGGAUGCGCAAGGAAUAUGCAAUUUUUUGUGAUGUUAGAACGCUCGAGGAGCUUUAGGAAAAAAAGGGGUCCAAACAGUGUUCUUUUCAAAGUUUCUUUCACAGGCAAAAUUUGUUUUUUUUUGCCACGACCUCCAUGAAUGCCAAAACACCUGCAUUUUUGAUGCCAAAAAAUUUCAGAUUUGUUUUAAGUGUUUUUCUAUUUUAUUUGAAUUUACUGUUUACAUGAUGCACCUGCACCGAACCGGCCGCACUCCUUACGCUCCUAAGACUGGUCAAUUUAGCGAAAUUUUGUCAAUGUCUUCACUUGCCAUUGCCCACCACCAUCAUUUUCUAAUUGGAACAUCAGCCACAUGACAAAACUAGUUAGUAGUAUUAUUGUCUCCUUGACAGAGUAGUUCAUUUUCUUUGGUCAAUCCAAACAGGAGCCACAAAGUCAGAUAAAAACAAAACAAAAUAAAUAUUUUGUGAGUUGUAACCAGCCAGCCAUCAGCAGAGCAUCCCAUCCCAUGGUUUCAUAAUGCGUAAAUCAGAUCACCACACAACCGAACACAUGGCAUGCAAUCAGCACAAACGGGGACCUAAAGGCCGCUCCACCUAUCUCUCCCAACAGCUGCUAAUUUAGCCAGAGAAGCAGCCAACCAGACCAGCCAAGCAUUGGCCUGCCAGCCAGAAGGAUUACAGCUACAAACCUUUGUUUCCAAGCCAAAUUCUCAAGUCUCUACAUCUAAAAAUGAAAAGGCUUGAAGUCUCUAACUCCAAGUACUAGUACUAUAUAUAACCCCCCAAAUGAUCUCUAAUCCUCCAUCCAAGAUCACAAGCCUGACAACUUCUCCAGCUCUCUCCCAGCAGCAGAGUUAUCUUUGUUAGUUCAUUGCAGCAACGUCCGUCAAGGAAGCAAAUGGCGGUUACUCUGAAGCUCAGGAUCCUCGCUGUGGCGGCAGCCGCCGCCGUCAUGGUCAGCACGGUUUCCGCGGCUGAUGGACCAGCUCCUGCGCCAGCCUCCGGUGCGUCGGCUGCCGCCCCGGCUGUCGCCAUGGCGUCCCUGACCGCGCUCGUCUUCGGCUACUUCUUCUGAGGCCAUGUACUUGUGUGCAUAAUUAUUUGGGAUUCUUUUGGCUCUUAUCGUGUUCAUACAUGAUAUGAGUACAUCUUGUAAAUUUACAUGUUCUUUUUCCAUUUUGUAAUAGAAAAAUUGUGGGUACAUACAUUUGUUUUUUGAUAAAGGACGAUUUUUAUAAUGUAUGAUCAAAGAGAUACAAACAUACACCACGCAUCUGCAUGGAUAGUAUACACACAAUCAACGCGUACGUACAAACAAAUGAUCACACCAGCCAAUAACAAAAUCAUAUAAGACUGAAGCUAUGCCUAAACUAACAAACUACUCCCUCCGUCCGGAAAUACUUGUCCUCGAAAUGGUUGUAUCUAGACUUAUUUUAGUUAUAGAUACAUCCAUUUUCUCCAUUUCUAGGAUAAGUAUUUUCGGACGGAGGGAGUAAAAAAAAGAAAAGAAAAAGAGCAACGAUGAUCCACGCUAAACAGCUGCUAAUCCAACAGGAAUGAUGCAAAGGCAUACAAUCCAGACGUGGACGCAACCACACCAAAUUAAAAUCAUGCACAACCCAAGCAAGAAGCACAACCGCCAACAACCGUCUUCGUACCCAAGAACAUUCGUCGACAAACCGGUGAAACAGUUCAUAGAUCAACUGGGAGUGAGAGGAUGGUGCUGCCAAAAUCCCACACGGGAGACGCUCAGGCGAUCCUGCGCCUCCGUCACAAGUAUACGUCGGUGGUAAACCUAGGCAGACCACUGCCCCCAAACAAUACACCACUAUCCUCGUCAUGACCACGACCUGCCACCACUAGCUCCGUCGAGCAUCCGGAUCCAUGGCCUGUCCGUCCGCUGGGCCAACAUCACUGGCACUAUAGCCGCACACUGGUACAUACACUUGUGGUUCUAAUUAAUGGAUCACCUCUUUGUUUUACUUUGUUGGAUAUGCUGGAUUUAGUCUUCCAAAUUUCAACUUGUCAACGAAGGUGCCUAGAUCAUCAUUUUCAAUUUCAGUUUAAGAAAAAUUUCAGCACCAACCGAAAUCAUUGAAAUUCAAUGAAUUUAAGUGAUUUUGGUUUUUAUUUCAGUCAAAGAGCCGACAUAUUCACUUGAAUUCAAUUAAAAUUUGAUUUUUUUGGAAAGUAUUAUUAAAAAUAUUUGGGAAUUUCAGUGAUUCGGUUUUUAUUUCAGUCAAAGAGCCGAAAUAUUCACUUGAAUUCAAUUAAAUUUUGAAUUUUUUGGAAAGUAUUAUAAAAAAUAUUUGAUUUCCUGUGUACUACUGAAAUUGCCGAAAUAUUUUGGCUGAAAUGUAAAUAUUUCAGUGUCUGCUGAAAUGAAUGAAAUUAAGUGAAUUCAAUCGAAAUCUCACUGAAAGUGAAAACCAUGGCCUAGAUUUCUUGGGCAACCACACAAUGUGAGACCCCUGCUCCAGAGGAAGACCAAGAUGGAAUUCAACCUGAAUUUGGAACAAUCGCCAAAAAAAUACAAAUUGUCUACAGUCCUGAAUAUUUUUGUCAUUUUUUCAACCCCAUUUUUUUCACCAGCUCAGCUCUCAAUAGCUAUUUUCAUAUCAAGCCAACUCAUAAUUGUUGAUCCCAAAUGAUCAUACAAGUGUUUCUUACUAAGUAGUACUCCACCCGUUCCCAAAAGGAAGGCAUAUAACGUUUGUCUCAAGUCAAACGGUGCCAACCCCUAGGAAUGAGCCAUAGGUUCCACGUUUACCAUCAAACCGUUGUGAACACUUCUAGUUCAAAGAGAAAUCCAUAAUAAGGAUUAAAAAAUCCAAAAUACAUCAUGUCAAAGAAGUCUCAGUUAUGAGUUGUAACCUGCCAGCAAUCAGCAGUAGAGCAUUCCAUGAUUGUACUAUAAUGCAGAAACCAGCUCAUCACACAACCAAACACAUGGAAUGCAAUCAGCAUAAACGGGGACCCAAAGGCCAGAACACAACAGCUAGCAACUGGCCAACCUCUCCACCUUCUGUCCAGACCAGCCGAUGACACCCAGCACUGGCCGGCCGGCCAGAAGGGUUACAGCCAGAAAUCUUCAUUUCCAAGCCAAGUCUGAAGUCUCUAACUCCAAGUACUACUAUAUAUAAACUACGUUGCACGGAUACUUGGAUACAUAUCGGAUACGCGAUACGGGAAUAUGCCCGAUACGCCAAUUUUCUAAAAACAUGGAUACGGGGAUACGUUUAUAUAUAGAUGUGACAUAUAUUAAUUAUUACAAAUAUGAAGAAAAAAAUUAAGGAGGUUCUAGGUCAAAGCAUGCCUCAAUACGAUUACCCCUUUCUUUUCUUGCACUUAGUACACUUCCAUUAAUUGACAGUGAGGUUUGCCUAGGUUUACUGUUCCAAUCAGUGCAUCGACUCUCUCUUGCUCACCUUUCACUUGAACAAAAACAUUGACAGACAUGUUUUCACAUGAACUCACGCCCAUGUUGGAAAUCUUCAAAAGGUGCGCCUUUAUUAUUGAGGGGAUUUCACGUCGAACGAGGGGUUUCAGGUAUCCAAAACGUAUCGCAGAAGUAUCCUAGGAGUAUCAAACAUUAUUUUCUUUUUUACAUCAAAAUAUCAAGGGAUACUUACGGGAUACGUAUCGGGCAGUAUCGGGGCAGUAUCCGGCUGGAUACGCGCACUUUCUGAAAUAUCGUGCAACGUAGUAUAUAAACCCCCCAAAUGAUCUCUCCUCCUCCACCCAAGAUCACAAGCCUGACAAUAUCUUGAGCUCUCAUCCAGCACUAGAGUAAUUAAUAUUUGCUAGCUGCAGCAGCAACCUUCCACGACCAAGAAAAUGGCACCGACUCUGAAGCUCAGGUUCCUCGCCGUGGCCGCCACCGCCACCGUCGUGGCAUCGUUGCUGGUCGGCAUGGCCUCCGCGGUUGACGGACCAGCCCCCGCACCAGCUUCCGGCGCGUCGGUAACUGCCCCGGCUGUUGCCAUGGCCUCCUUGACCGCCCUCGUCUUUGGCUACUUCUUCUGAGGACAUGGGCGACGACGUGCAUCAUGUCGCGCAAUUAUUUGGGAUCUUUAUUUGAUUCUACUUGUGUUCAUACAGGAUAUGAGUACAUAUUGUAAAUGUAUGUCCUUUUUUAUUUUUAAUAAAAGUUUAAUUGGAUACAUACAAUUUUUUAUGAAGGCCGCUUUUUAUAAUCUACUGGUGUACUUAUUUUCCCCAAAAAAUCCUAGAAAGAAGGCGCACCUUUUAAUGUUUGGUUCCUGUAAUACCCUUAUUACUUCAUCAUUACUGUUGCUGAACAGACCCCCACAUUAAUUACAUGCAGUUACAACUCCUCUCAUGAUCGGCUCCACAUUACCUCGCCUCCCAAGGAAUCUUUUCCGAGGUGACAAGAGAGUAUUUCCCAUGGUAAGUUGGGAAACUAUUUUACCGUGGGCUCUUUUUGUUGGACCCGAAAAUUUACGCCUAAAGCAUAGGAACAAGGGAGUAACAUCAAAGGGUUACAAACACAAUAAGCACAUACCCGUCCAGUUGCAUGGUUUACCAGAUGGGAUGUCCCCAUCAACUUUUAUGAUCAACACUUGCAUCCUCUUCAAUAUUGGGAGCCCUUGGCUUGGGUGGAGACGAUGGUUUGAGGCCUAGGCCAUAGGCUCAAGUAUCUUUAAGUGCCACCAACUUCUUGCUUGCUUUAAGCUCAUUUCCUUUAUAAUGGGAUCUCGUGUUUCCAAGGUACCUGUCGGAGGGGGCGAAAAUCCAGGCUGCAGUGGCGUUUGAGCCAUGUUUGGAAGUACCCCUAGGGGGUCAUAGAGCCGUUGCGCGAGUGGGGACACACUCGCUUGGAGCGUCACCUCCUGCGGGCACAAAAGUACACCACCUCCUUCCCCGACAAAAGAUGGUUUCUCCUCCGAGUCCAUGAGAGGUGAUCUCCUAUCACUUGUUGCUUUUGCUAUCGGCGGAUGAAGCCCCCCUCGCACCAAGGGUGAGCGUUCCACGGGAGAUUGUGUCGAUGAAAACAGUGCCUCUCUGAAGCCCUCCUCAUUGAAGAGCCCCCUGCGGUGUUUCCAUGGGGUCUUCAUUGGGCCAAGACACUGCAUGUGCCAAGCGAGAGGACCACUCCUCCUCACACGACUCGCUCCUCCACCUGAACCCCCUUUCUCCCAGGGAUGAAUGCUCGUGGUUGAGAAGAACGAUAGGGAGGAUGGACCGGAGACACAAAUGGCGAGUCGAAGUUGAGGAUCCCCCGAGACUGCGUGUGGAGUGUGGCAUCAUAUAGAAGACUCCCAAGAAGAACCAGCUCCACCUUCUCCCUCAACGAUGAUCUCCGCUCAUCCACGACCUGGCCUCAACCUCGGGAUCUAGGGUAUCCAGAGUAGGAAGUUCCUUCGUCCUUUUCUUCUAUGGCCACAUGAACCACUCGGAGUAUAUACAUGAAAAGCCUAUGCUAUUUUUAUUGGAUUUUUUGGCAUGAUCACAGAGCACUACUCACGAAAUAGAGAUGAAACAUUGGUAGAUUGAUUCUUGGGGACCCAACAAGAAGGAGAACUCACCGCCGUUCUUCAUCAAGAUCAUCACCACGACAUUCCGCUUGACUAUUUGUGGUAGUAAUUGUGUGGUAAACCUCUCUCUUUGUUUUGUCAUGUCUAGAUCAUAUGAAAUAUUUGUCAUAAUUAUGAUCACCUAUGUAAUUCUUGUGGUGGAUCUUUUGAUAUAGAUGAAUAAUUCCAUUAUAGUAAGUAUAUUAGAUUCCCAUUUGAUUAGUCUAAUCACUGAGCAGUUUAGAUGAAAGAACAAUAGUGGGAAGAAUGUGCAUCAGAUGGUAUGGAGUCUGGAUCACUAUUUGCGAAUUAUUACUAAUGACAAAAUAUAGAUAAAAUCUGGAUGUGCCUCACAAAUGGAGAUAAGAUUUGACGGGUUUAAGGUUCUUCCCAUUGGCCACAAGAUGAAAGUUACUUAGCAUUUUUUUCUGCUAACAAAAAUGGCGUCCGCUCUAACCAUUUCAUUAAGGUAGGAAAAUAACGAAACAUAGUACAAUAAUUUUUUAAGUGAAGCGAAGAAAAAAAUGAAAUGAAAAGAAGACAUAAACCUUAAAGUACAUAGCAUUAUUGUCCCCUUGACAGACAUAAGUGCAGUAGGUCAUUUUCUUUCACUAGUCCCAUCUGGAGCCACAAAGUUAGUUAAAUUUAAGACAAAAAACGAACCACAGUUUCCACGUUUACCAUCAAAUGGUUCCGAACACUUAUAGUUCAAACAUAAAUCAAUCUUAUAAAAACACAUCAUGUCAACAAAGUCUUUGUGAGUUAACUAAGAAUUCCAUGGUUUCAUAAUGCGAAAACCAGCCCACAACAUGCCAAAAUCACUAUUCUGACCUUGACAACAAUCUUUGUCGCAAACUGAACCUGACAUGAAAGUAUUUCAUAAUUUGACCCUUUUAGCAACGCCACAGCCCGCGGCAUUUCCGCCAACUUAGAAACACCGAGCUAGCUAGAAUUUCUGCACUGGCCCACUGCCAGGCCGAGCACGCGUUGCUCGCUGACGUGGCAGGCCAGAAACGCCGAGCUAGCCAUCGUUUCUGGAAAUGCCAGGGUCCAUGGCAUUUUUGGUCUAGAUAUUUUAGGUGGCCGUGGGGCUCUCACCCACCACUCACCACUCACUCUCUUCUCCCCCAUUGGCCUAUCCCAAGCUCUUACCCUUUCCCCCCUUUGUGUCCCUCACUUGGCCCUCUCAAAUCCUUGCAAAUCGAUUGGGUUGGUCCAUGGAUCCGGUGUCAUUUCCAUUCCUUGAGGUAACCUCCUUCAUCUCACAAUUUUUAUUGGUUGGAUUUGUCUUUUUGGAUUAUUUUGUUCAUGUGGUUCCUAACCCUAGUUUUGAACAUGGUUCUAUAAUAUGAUGUUCUUGAGUAUUGUUGUUCCAACAGGGUUGCAUUGUGAUGUUGGUGAACAAACCUUAUUGUUUGGGUUAUGCCUAAUGUUAAGAUUUAGGGUUAGCGUUAGGGUUUGGGUUAUGCUUAAUUUGGAUGGAAAAAGUUGUUCUUUUAGCAAUGUGGUAUAUUUAGCAUUGUUCAUUUCUUGUACUUAUGUUCCCCUUUUUUAGAUGGACAAGAUUGUGAAUAUUUGUUAUGUUGACAAAGAGGCAUUCAUGAAUGUUGACAUUGUUGACAAGUAUGAGGAAGUGUUGAUAUUUCUUGAGAAUCCUAGUUAUGAAGAGGUUGUGGAAGAAACACAGAUAAGAUUAAAGUGGGUGGAUGCAAGUGACCAAGUUGACUUAGUAGGAAGAUAUGAUGUUGGGUCGGCACACAAGUGUUGAAUGAAGACAAUGCCUAUCAAAUCCAAUUUGCAUUGGGUUGCAUAUAAGGAUGUUGUUGCAUUCUCGGCAGUCAAGUCACUCGAAGUGUUUGCAAGUAAGGUGGUCAAGCCUCCUCUCUUUCAUGUUGACUUGAACUAAACCUUAGUAGAUGACGUGAGCUUGACUAGUAGUGUGCCGCCUAUUGUUGAGCAUAAAGUUGAAGUGGAAGCCAAUGAGUAUCCCCAAUAUGGGUUCGGAGGUAGUGCACCGAUCGAUGAUGAUGGUCAUGACUCCGACGAAGAGUAUGAGAGGCACCAAAACAUUGUUGGUGACGUAGAGGCUCAAGUAAGGCAUAAGGACAUGGAUCCUGACAUUAUCUAUCAGCGUGCAUCUGUGGAUGACUCAGAUGAUGAAGGCUCGAUGAAUGAGUUGGAUGAGGAUGGCUUCACUGAGAAAGAGGUAGAGUGGUACACAAAAAUCACCGGUAGGGAUCACAAAGUUCCCUUGUUUUGUGAUGUUAGCCUUGCAGAUAAGGAUAUAGUCGACGGUGGCAUGAGCAAGACAACUGAGGCUAGACAGUUUCCCAAGUAGUACACCCGACGAGAUUUUGAUGUCUUACCUAAGGAAAGGUUUGAUGUUCAAGCACAUGCUAGAAUUCAAGAUGUGGUUGGGUGAGUAUGCUGUCAAACACUACAUGCCUUUCUUAGUUGUUCACUCAGACUGGAACAAGCGAUACACCGUGAAAUGUGAGGUAGAAAGAUGCAAAUGGAAAGUCAAUGGAAGAGUCACGAAAGAUGGUUGGUGGAAGAUAACUAGUUGCAAAGCCACUCACCAAUGCACACCGCCGACCGUAGAAGCACGAAAGACACACCGUCAGUUAACCUCGGAAUUCAUCGGUUAUAAAUACCAGAAACAUAUAGCCGAGGAUCCAACCAUUAAAGUGAAGUUGUUGAUGAGUUGGGUUGAAUAUAAGUUUGGAUAUAAGGUCAAGUAUAGGAAGACAUGGAAGGCCAAUCAAGUCGCUCUUAGAAUGUUGUAUGGUGGAUGGGAAGAGGCGUACAACAUGCUACCCAGGUUGUUGGGAGCGAUGUCCUAUAGAAACCCAUGAAUAUACCACUAUGUCCAAGAUAUUGAAGGAGUGUUCCGUUGUGCCUUUUGGCCCAUGCAUUGCAGCUUUUGAGCAUUGUCGUUCGGUUUUGUCUAUAGAUGGAACAUUCUUGACAGGCAAAUACAAGGGCACACUCAUGAUAGCAAUGGCACAUGAUGCUAAUGAUCAGGUGUUGCCUAUGGCAUUUGCUUUGGUGUCCAUGGAGAACCAAGACAACUGGGAAUGGUUCAUGAGACUUGUGAGGAGCACGGUCAUUCUUCCGAAUAGGGAGGUAUGCAUCAUAUCUGAUCGGCACCAAGGCAUAUUGAGGCCAUUGAUAUUCACAUUCCAGGGCAUGCAAGGCUUCACCACCGAUGGUGUAUGAGGCACUUCGUUGCAAACUUUUACAUGGCUUGUAAGAAUAAGGAUCUUUACUCCGCAUGUGUAUCCUUCUCCGUUGAGUUGUUCACGAAACGCUUGAACAAAAUCUAUGAGAAGGCAAACGAAGGUGCGAAAGAAUUCCUAGAAAGGAAUAUUGAUGAGAGACACAAAUGGUUACGGGCAUGUGACGAUGGAGGCAUGAGAUAUGGUGACAUGACAAGCAGUCUUGAAGGGUGCCCAUCAGUUGCCGGUGGCGGCAAUAGCAAAAUAUACCUUUUACAAGCUAAAUGAGUAUUUUCUGAAGCACUACUAUGAAAUUGACAAGUUGAUUGGUGAUAGUGAGAAGCCUCCCAAUGAAAUUUAUCCGAAGAAGGUUGCUGAGUGGCUAGAGUUUCAGAAAGACAAGUCAACCAUCCAGCGAGCCACUUGUCCGCGAGACAUAAGUCAAGGAGACAUAGUACAAACAAGUCUGCGAGACAUAAAACAUAACAAGUUCACACAUUCACUUCUUCCCUCUUUUGGCAGGGAGACACAAAGCUACAUUACAAGUUCAAUAGACAUAAGGCAUCAGUCAUCACUUCAGUUCUUCCCUCUUUUUGCAGGCAUCUUUUCCCCUUGUUGAUGUAGCCCUCUGGAGUGUUCUACCAUCCCGGACAUUGGCUAAUUCUUGAGCUAGCUCGUCGUGCUUCUUCUGACGGCUGAGAAGGUUGAGUUGGCUGCGAAGCUUCUUCCAUCUGCGAAGCCCCAAGCUCCAUAUAGUCUGGAUCCGCAUCUUCGUCUGUCUCCUCUUCCUCUUCCUCUUCCUCAAUCCGUGCUCGGCUUGAAGAAGCACGAGCUACUCUCGAAGAUGCACGAGCAGAAGAAGCACGUGCUCGGCUGGAAGAUGCACGAGCGGAAGAAAGCACGUGCAUUUUAUAUUGAGCACGUGCCCGCACAUACGUGGAUGAACCAUCGUGGCAAGAGAGUAAAGCGGAUAGUGUGCGGCAACGAUUCACGACCUUCCGCACAAGGAAAAACAUUGACAUGUUAAUAUGCAAAAAGAGUUACGAUGAAAGAAAGCACAUGUUCAUAUUGACAUGUUAACCUGCAGAGUACUCCUAACAAGCCCAUCCAUUUCUGGACCAGGGGCACGACCAAGCACCACAUUACUAUAAUUGAUACAUCUCCAUAGCUCUGUGCCCUGAAUAAAACAAAUGUGACACACCACUCACGAAGAAAUGUCACAUGUUCAUAUUUCAAAAGAGAGACAAAAGAGAGACAUACCACUCGGUCAUGCAAAGGGCCAUAAUAUAGGUGCGCUCCAAUGGUCUCCCUAAUAGAGUUGUUGAAUGCACCAUCAGUAGCCUCACUUGGCAUUAGGUACAAGCAAUAGGCACGAGUCCAAGCACCCUUGUGGAUAACUCUGUACUCUUUGCGAAACCACUCCAAAGGCCUUAAAUAUGCCCCCUCAUUGUUGUCGGUUGUGUGAUCAUUUUCAACUCGAGCAUUCCUAUGAGCAUUCCACAUGUCCACCCACAUAAGCUGGCGAUCCUCCCAGUUCGUGACUUUCUUGUUGUUUUUCUCGUCCUACAAAGCAUGAGAAGAGUACAUCAGUUUCAUUUUUUCAUGUUACACAUUGAUCAACAUGUGGUACAAAAAACUCUCACCUAUGUAGCGGCACAAUUGUCUCACCGUAGUCUGGCGGGGUGCGUUGUUGUACUCCAAAUUGCUUUGAAGCACGAUGUGGAAGAUGCCACUUGACCACAAAGAAGCAUAUCAAGGGGCACCGCACAUGCCAAAGAUGUUUGUCACGAAGGCACAUAUUGCUCAAAGGGAACUGCCUAAGUACCAUGUACGACCUCCAGUUGACCUACAUCACAACAUGUCACUCGCUCAUGCAUAUUUUUUUUCAGGAAUGAUGACAAAGCAUUUGGAUAAGUACCUGAUUAUAACUCAGCAUGUCAAGCUGGCUUAUGUAUGCCUUGUACCGCCCCAUGGCGGCGAUACUCGACACUUGGACAUUAGCCCAUGUGUGUGCGAUAGUGGGGUACCGCUCCUCAUCCCCGUUAAAAGGCCACUCCCAAGGUUCUUCCGGGGCAAUGGUGACGUUACGGCCUACAGGGAUACGCUCCCACAUCCAACCUGUAGGGCCCAAACGAAACCACCAAGACAAGAUUUUGGCUUACUCCUCAUACAUUCUCCGCCCAACUGCACAUUUGUACACACGUUAAACGAUCACACGCAAACAUCUAUUUCAUAUAAUGAAAAUGCAUCAUAGUAAGCAUUACCUGACGGUACAAGAAGGCUAGUGCCGCCGACCCCAACUCCACUUAACAUCCCAGUUACGAAGAGGGUCCAAGAACAUCCAUGAGGCUGUGUCCCCCGUGCAAUCCAGAAACACCACUUGGGUCAAAAGAUUCCAUAAGUAAGCCCUGGCGUACCUCUCCACAACAGCAGGACUGGCAUCCUCUGGGUACUCGUAAAAAUGUUCUCGUAGUCGCGAGAACAACACACCAGAUGGCCUAGGAUCCUUCUUGGUUUCAUGAAUCCACGGUAAAGGUUUAACACCAACCAAUCCCGCAACCUGUUGUUGCCACCCCUCAGACUUCACCUUCCCAGUAAGAGCCCUGCCCUCGAUCAGAAGCCCAGAGAUCAUCACAGUAUCCUCCAAAGUGAUGGUCAUGUCACCAAGAGCAAGGUGGAAAGAGUGCGUCUCCGGCCUCCAAUGGUCCGUAAGGGCGGUAAUGGCCGUCGAGUUCAGCCAUGGUGGUGUGCCUUUAAAGUUGAGCACAAACUGAAGAAGAUCCAUUCUUCUAAAAUAAGGCUCGUAGCGACGGUCAUAUUCGAGUGAUUCACGUAGGUUGUGGCCCCUCAACCGAAGUAUUGGAGGAACCUAAAAAAAACAAAUGCAUAAUUUUGAUACUUCUCUCAACUUGUCACAAUAUGAAAGUCAAACAAUGUAGAUACAUAAUUACCUCCCCUCUUUCCACUAGCACAACAUGAUGCUUCUUCUCGUAAUAAUCAUCAAGGCCGGGAUAUUUAUCCGGCUCAAACAUCCUACAUAAUAAGUUAAGGACUUGUUAAUACAAAUGCUUAAAACAAUGACCACAUUGCAUACACAAUGGUACAUACAUAUACAUUUUAAUCUCUAAGGAAAAUACCACAAAUCCCCAACCACGUUACCAACACCAAUUCUUUUCAACCACAAUUAUCCCAAACAAUCUAUUCAAACUACUUAGCAACAAUAAUCUUAUGAUUCAACAUAAUACAUUUUUUCUAUCUCUAUAUCCAAUACUACAUUACUAUCCUAACAAAUACUUCAACACAAGUAGUAUAUCUUCUUUCUAAACAUAAUCUCAACGAAAUUUCUACAUACAAAUCACAAACAACUAAUUUUAUGGUUCCACCAUGUUUCAAAAAAUGCAUCUACAAUAAUCAAUCUUGACUGAAAAAAUUGGAGGAAUAGAAUGAGAAUACCUGAAGCAACUUGGGACGGUCCGAUCUACUCCUUUUGAUGGCAAAAAUAGAGGAUUAGGGUUGGAUUUGGUGGAGAAGGAGAGAGGGGCAGAGAAAGUUCGUCUCUGGCGGCUAAGGAGGAAGACCCCGCUGGGGCUACGAGUGGGCUGGGUCCUACCCGCGGCCCUGCGGCUUACUUAAUUAAUCCAGCACAGAAAUGCCAAGGCCCAUGGCGUUUCAGGCCUGGCACGUCAUCGAGCAACGCGCUUGGGCUGACCGUGGGCUAGGGCGGAAACGCUCGCUAGCUCGGCCUGUCUCUGUGCCGCAGAAACGCUCGCUAGCUCGGCGUUUCCAUGUUGGGCAGAAACGCCGCGGACUGUGGCAUUGCUGAAUGGUCAGAUCAUGAAAUACUUCCGUGUCGAGUUCAGUUUGCGACAAAGAUUGCUGUCAAGGUCAGAAUAGUGAUUUCGCCCCCCACAACACAACCGAGCACAUGGCAUGCAAUCAGCACAAAGCGCAACAGCUAUCAACUGGCCAACCAUUUGCCAUUUUAAACCAUACCAAACAAUAACCAGUGAAGCAGCCAACCGAGCAUCGGCCAACCGGUCAGAUGGAAUACAGUCGGAAACCUGUAGAGACCUUCAACUCCCAAGUCCGAAGUCUCUAACUCCAAGAACUACUAUAUAAAACCCCCAAAUGAUCUCCCCUCCUCCACCCAAUAUCACAAGCUUGAGAGCAUCUUCAGUUCUCUCCCAGCACUAGAGGAAUCUCUGAUAUCUCAUUGCAGCAGCAUCCACCGAGGAGCAAGCAAAUGACACCGACUCUCAAGCUCAGGAUCCACGCCGUGGCCACCAUCGCCGCCACCUUGGUCGGCACAGCCUCUACGGCGGAUGGACCGGCUGCCGCCCCGACCUCCGGCGCGCCGGCUGCCGCCCCAGUUGUUGCCAUGGCGUCGCUGAUCAUGCUUGUCUUCGGCUACUUCUUCCGAGGCCAUGGACGAAUGUGUCGCGUACGCAAUUAUUUGCUUCAGUACAAGCCUCCUAAACACAUCAGCGAAGCCGAUCUUUUCAUACCCCUUCGUAAUAAAGGAUAGAAAAUACAUCGCCCAUCAAAACGUGGCUUGUAUAUGUACCGCACACCCUCUCUCCGCCCUUGGCGGGCCCAUUUUUUUUACUUUUUCCACUUCUGAAAAAUCUUCAAAAAUAAAUGACAAGUAGACUACUUUCUUGUUGUAUCUAAUUACCUUCUUUUUUUCCUUUUUAAAUAUAACAGUAACCAAUGAGAGCCUAUCUGUUUUUUUUUCAGUUUUCGUCUGUCCGUGUUUUCUUCUGCUUUUUAUUUUAGUUUUAGGUUUUUAAAACAAAAUCAAGAACUAUUUUUAAAUCAUGAACUUUUUCUUAAUACCAUGAUUCUUUUUUCAAAUCCACAAACUCUUUUCAAUUGUUAUGAAUUUUUACAAAGCCCGUUAUUUUAACUUUUUCAGAUCCAUAAAUGCUUGGGCCGGGCCCAUGACUUUUCUCUUCCAAAAUUAAUGAACAUUUUUAAAUCCGUAAACGCUUGGGCCGACAGGAGUCAACCAACCUGGCAGUCGGGUGGAGAUUGGACGGGAAAACCCUAUUUGACGUUCUCCGCACAGGCGCACGAAAACUUGGGCCGGCCCAUCAACUACUGUUCACAUCGCUGGCAGUUCCCAUUUUGCGAAACUCCUAGAAGGUUCCCAGCGGUUUUUCUGGUUUUGGGAAACGUCUAGAAAGUUCCUCAGAUGGUUUUUUAUUUACUUUUUUUGUUUCCUUUUCUAUUUCUUUUUUCCGUUUCUUUUGUCUUUCUUCUUUGUUUUCGUUUUUCUCUUUUCCAAAAAACGUUAGGAUCUGCGAAAAGCGUUCACAAAUCCAAUUUUUUUUUCCGAAAGUAAGAAAAUGUUUGCAUUUUAAAACAGUUUGUCCAAAAAAUCCAAAAAAUUGUUAUCGAAUUUCAAGAAAUGUUCUUGUUUCAAAAAUUUGUUCACAAAUCCCCAAAAAAAAUUCUAAUUUCAAAAAAUGUUCCCAUUUCGAAAAUUUGUUCACAAAUUCCAAAAAUGUUCGGGUAUUUCAAAAAGUGUUCCAACUUUUGAAAGUUUGUUCAUGUUUAACAAAAUGUUCUCAUGUUUCAAAAAUUGUUCAUAGAUUAAAAAAUCUUUGUGCACAAAUUUUAAAAAUGUUCUCAUUAUUUUAUAUUUACUUUUUUCAGAUUCCAAAAAUGUUCCAUUUUUUUAAAUUUUUGUUCGCAAAUUUGAAAGUGAUCACUAUUUUCAAAUAAUGUUCACAAUUUCAAAUAAUGUUCUUGUUUUCAAUUUUGUUCCUUUUUUAUUCACAAAAACUGUUUGUGGUUUUGAAAAUUUGUUCCCAUUAUCAGAUUUUUGUUCUCAAAACUCUAUAAAUGUUUGGGUUUUCGGAAAAUGUUCACGAAUUUCAAAAACCAAUGUGUCGAAAAAUGUUCACGUCUUUUGUUUUACUUUUUGAAAUUUCAAAAUAUGUCCGAUUUGUUAAAUUAUUUCAUCAUAUUUUGAGACACUGCUCAUUUGUUAAAAAAAUCACAAUUUCGAAGGAAAGAUUGAAAAUAUUCAAAAAACUGUCCAGAUUCUUCAUUGGUAUUAGUUCUUAUACCAGCACGCUUGAUAUUUAGCAUCAAGGCUUGUUAGGUCUACUGGUUAGCUCCUCUCGUAUCCAACAUGGAGGUCCAGAGAUCGAAUCCUUGCCCGAAUAUUUAGCAGGCGUACAGUCUGCACACGAUCCUAGACUCAUGCCACAACCGGACGGGUGACUCGAUCCAAUUGGGCACCUGUCGGGUCUAAUAUUUUAAUUCAUUUUUAUUUUGCCUAACUGUCUGCAUGUCUUGCGUUUAGCAUUCAAAUGUACUUUGCCGAUGCCCUUGUUUGUCUCCUUCAUAGCACAAUCCAGCCCGUCGUGCGCUCAAGCAAGAGAGGUGGGACUAAAUAAGCCAAUCCUAUGUUCAUUUUGUUGCCAACCACGUACAGCACAUGGCUCGUGCAUGACCUUCAGUCGCUGGGGCCCAAUAGGCCGAAAUACUACACCAUUUUAAAGUUACAUAGAUUAGUAGUAUUUAUAUAAUUUGUUUGCUCAAAAAUAAUGAUUCAACUAUGGACCUUACCAUUCUUGAGGGACCCACAAGAAAUAAAAGGCAGAGCAAACAUGCAUACAUGCAUCCCUACUGGCAGCGUUGGUGUGUACUAAACUCACCUAAAAAAUGGUGUGUACUAAAUAAAUUAAUUAGCAUGUAUCUUCACCAAAACGUCCACACAUCAUAUAAAAUAAAAAAGUAUUGUACUAACUAAUAUUAAUCGGAUGACCAUAGGGCUACCUAAGAGGGAGAAACCCCAUGCCCAUACCCAUGACUAAUCGGGUUACCCAUGGAUGAAUAUGGUCACCUGUACCCUACCCAUUUCGGUCGGGUGUCCAUGGGCGUGGUCCCCCAUUGGUCGGAUUGCCGGGUUGAGACGGGAGUGAUGUCAACACCUAGUUGGGCUAAGGCCUAAGCAUAUUUUUCUUUCCUACUUAUUAUUAUUUUUUUCUUUUUUUGUCAAUUUAUUUUUCUCCAUUUUAAACUUUAUUAUUAUUUUGAAAUCUGUUCAAUUUUUUUAAUGUUGUUUGGAAUUCAAAAAAAUUAUUUGUUUUCAAUUAUUGUUUACAAUUUUAAAAAUGUUCUCGAAUUUCAAAAAAUGUUCUCAUUUCUGAAUUUUUUGUUCAAAUUUUUGAAAAAUGUUUGUGUUUCAAAAAAGUUGAUAUUUUUUUAAAAAGUAAGUUGUUUGCAAUUUGUUUUCAACAUCAAUUGUUGAGAAUUUGUUAACAAUUUUGGGGAAAGUGCUCAAGUUUGUAAAAAUUUCAUACACAGUUUCAAACUCCCAAAUUAUUGAAAUAUUUUUAGAAAUGGUUAGGACUUAGGAAAAUGUUCAUGUUGUUUGAUAAUGAUGGGAAUUGUAAAUAACUGAAGCAUUCAAAUUAGUAAAAACUACAUGCUCACGAAUGCACCCUUCUGGCCUAGUCUAACACACUCCUCUCAACUGAUGUUUUUUUGGGACUAUGGAUAAAUGGCCCCAACUUCUUGUAGCAGCCUAGCACGGACAUAUGAGGCAUCCAUACUAGAUUCGCAUGACUUAUGACACCGUUAGCACGUUGCGACACGUUCAACCACUUAUCAGUCAUUUUUCACUGAGAAAACUUCAGACAGUGCAAAACUUGUCAAACAUCCAAACUACUUGGUAUUAUGCUUUGAAUUGGUCACAGAAGCUGGUGAAAUUUUUUUGGGGCCAUUUGACGAUGCCAAAAAACAAUAUGCUUUCAAAUGGACUCUUCUGGCUACCCGAACAUAAUUCAUUGCAUAUGAUCUAUUUUUGGACAUUCUUAAAAUGACCACAACCUUUUCAAGUAGGUGGGCAUGCCCAUGGUAGGCAUCCAUGUAAGGUUUAAACGAUUUCUGACACCGUAUGCAGGUUUUGACACGCCCGAUAAUUUAUCGGUCUUUUUUGACCGAGAAAAUUCCAGAAAAUGCAAAAUUUGUGGAGAAUCAAAACAACUUGUCAUGGUACCUUGAAUUGGUCAUACAAGGCCAUGAUAAAAAAAUUGGUGCCAUUUCAAGGAUGUCAAGAACACAACGUGCUCUCAGAUGGAGCCUUCUAGCCUACCCGAACACCCCCCAAUUAAUAUGGUCUAGUUUUGGACAUUCUUGAAAUGACCCAAAAUUUUGCAAGAAGGUGGCCAGCCUAUGAUAGGUAUCCAUGAAAGGUUUGAAAGAUUUUGGACACCGUAUGCAAGUUGCGACACGUCCAACCAUUUAUUGACCUUUUUUUAUCGAGAAACCUCCAAAAACUGCAAAAUAAAUAAAUAUGAAAACUAAAAUAACUUGGCAUGGUUACUUGAAUUGGUCACAUAAGGGUAUGAAAAAAAUUGGGAUCAUUUCAAGGAUGUAAGAAACAACGUGCACUUAGACGGAGCCUUCUCGCCUUAUCCAAACACCCUCCAUUCAACAUGGUAUAUUUUUGGACAUCCUUGAAAUGACCUCAAGUUUUACAAGUAGGUGGGAAUGCCCAUGGUAGGCAUCCAUGUCAGGUUUGAACUAUUUCUGACAUCAUAUGCAAGUUGCAACACGGGCCAUCUAUCGGCCUUUUUGACCAAAAAAAUCCAAUAAAUGAAAAUUUUGUCAAAAACCAAAAUGAUUUGGCAUGGUGCCUUGAAUUAGUCAUACAAGUUAAUUGAAAAAAAUUGGGACAUUUCAAGGAUGCCAAAAAACAACGUGCUCUGACGAAGCCUUCUCGCCUAUCCGAACACGCUACUUUCAACAUGUUCUAUUUUUUGACAUCCUUAAAAUGACCCCAAGUUUGCAAGCAGGUGGGUUUAGCCAUGGUAGGCAUACAUGUAAAGUUUGAACGAUUUUCGACACCGUAUGCAAGUUGUGAUACAUCCGACCAUAUUUUGACCGAGAAAACUCGAGAAAAUGCAAAAUUUAUCCAAAACCAAAGCAACUUGGCAUGGUGCCUUGAUUUUGUCAUACAAGGCCAUGAGAAAAUAAUUUGGGCCAUUUCAAGGAUGUCGAAAAACAGCAUGCUCUCAGACGGUCCUUCUGGCCUACCCAGACACCCUCCGUUAAACAUGGUGUUUUUGUGGACGUCCUUGAAACGAUCCAAACUUUUGCCGCACGGUUUGAACAAAUUCCAAUGCCGUAUGCAAGUUAUGACAUGUUUGAGAUUUUAUCGCUUUAUAUACUAAGAAAACUUUAGAAAAUGCAAAGCUUGUCGAAAACCCAAGGAACUCGACAUGAUACCUUGAAUUGGCAAUACAAUGCCAUCAUAAAAAAAUUGGUGCCAUUUGACGAUGUCGGAAGAAAGCAUGCUUUCGAACAGAGCCUUCUAACUUACCCAGACAUCCUACAUUGAACAUGGUGUUUUUUGGACAUCAUUGAAAUGACCCCAACUUUUACCACCAGGUGGGAAUGCCCAGUAGGCAUCCAUGCCAGGUUUGAACAGUUUUCAACGAAGUAUGCACGUUGCGACACGUACAGUCAUUUAUCUAUCUUUUUUCGACAUAAUAUCCAGGUUUGAAGGAAAAAAAGUAUUUAAAAUCAUAAUAUAAGCAUGUACGUAAAACUAUUAUUUGAAGCUUUUAACAUAUCUAAAAAAACAAAAGAAUAAAAUUGAAACAACAAAUGCUUUUUAAACGCAUUUAAUAAAUAUUUGAACAAAAAAGAAUUGAAAACCAUAUUUUAAAAAAGUUAAUUUAAUAUUUUAAAAAAGAAUUGAAACCAUAUUUUUAAAAAGUUCAUAUAUUCAAAGUUUUUCUGCACAAAUAAAAGAAAAUUCAGGGAAAUUAAAUAAAUGGUUUCAGAUUUUUUCCAUAUUUUCUAUUUCUAUAAAUUCAAAUUUGUUAGUGUUUUAUAAAAACUGUUUGUAAAAUUCAAAAAUGUUCAUGUUCAAAAUUUUGUUCGCUCUUUAUACAAAAUGUUUGUGUUUUGUGGCAUUAUGAACAAUUUUUAAAGACACUACAUUUGUUUUUGAUAUUUAUGUACAAUUUUAUUGAAUGUGCAUUUUUCUAUUUUUGAGCAAAAUAUAAAUAAGCAAAGAUUUUUUUAAAAUUUCAAAAUUUUGUAAAAGCGCGAGCAUUUUCUAAAAAGAAAACAAAAACAAAAACAAAAACAAAAAUGAAAUAGAAAAAUUAUAAAAAAAGAAAUACUGAGCAAAGACUGAUUCGCUCAAGAUGAAAAGGUCAUGUAUUUUGAAAAAGAAAUUCUUGGAUUUGAAAAAAGUUCAUCUAUAUUGAAAAAAACUUCACGGACUUGAAAAUAGUUCAUCGAUUUUUUUAACAAAAGUUCCCGGAUUCUGAGAAAGAAGUUCACUAAAAGGUUGAAAAAAUCUGAAAAAAAGUUCACUGAUUUGAUUAAAAGUUCAUGAAAUUUGAAAAAGGUUCACUAGAAGGUUAGCAAAAAACUGAGUGAAAGUUCAAGGAUUUGAAAAAGCCAAGAAAAAUUGAAAAAACUUCACGCAUUAAAUAAAGGGAAACAACAAAAAAUAAAAAUAAAAGAUAAAACAAAAACUAAGUAAAAACAGGCCAAAGAAAACAGAAAGAAAAAAAGGAAAAUAAAAGUCCUCUUUUUAGUGUUGUAAGUUGACACAUAACAAAGACAUAGAAAACAAUAUAUAGUCACAUGAGUGAGCUGUCCCAGUUUUUUCUGAGGAGUAAACCACACUUUAUUAAUUGCUAGAUGCACGGUUUAUAGGGAUUACAAAAAGGUCGUGGGGUAAACCCAUCCACAAGUGGCGACCACCAGCUAAAGAAGAAAACUUAGCUAAACUGUGAGCAUCAAAAUUCAAACUACGACUUUCAAGAAUAAAUUCAUAACUUGAGAAAUAUCUUGAUUGGGCAUGAAUCACCUUCAUAAUGGUGCUAUACCUUCCUUCAGUGCCAUUCUUUAUCUUCUCUACCACUGAUUUGCAAUCACAUGCAACGACGAUUCGGUCGAGUGAUAGAUCCAAUGCAAGAGCCGAGGCUUCGUGGCACGCAAGUGCCUGCAGGGUCGUCGGGUCGUUUAUGUUAGUAAAAACCAUCGGCGAGGAGCCCAAGAAUUGACCCGUAUGGUCUCGACACACUGUUGCAGCUGUCCCACUACUCCCGUCCGUUGAUAGUCCCCCGUCAACCUGGAUCUUUGUCAAGCCUGGACUAGGAGCAAUCCAAUGUUGCCGCCUGAGGUAUAGCAUGUGUCAUUGAGCUUGUAAGUGCAUGGAUAGUACCAUGUUCAGAUAUAAAACUGACGAUGAAAGCAUUUGUUGCGUGCGGACUUCGCAAAAUACCCUCGUGGAUAGCUUUUCGUCACGCCGCCCAGAUAGCUUAUAGGGUAACAACUAGCUUGAUCAAGCUUGCAUGUGGAAGUUCAUCAAUUAGUGCAAAUAACCACAGUUUGGCAUCUGGCUCGGAUGGCUUUGUAUGUUAUCAGCCACAUCCUCGUCAACUAGUGCCCAUACACAACGUGCUAUAGAACACUCUAUAAGAGAAUGGCGCCAAGAGACCGGCAUGCCACAUAAUUGGCAUUUGUCAACCUCGGCCAUGUUCCUUCUAUGGCAAACAUCCUUUGUCGGAAUAGAGUGCUUCACUAGUCUCCAUAGAAAAUUACGGAUCUUUCCUGGCACUGGGAUCGCUCAUAACGUAGUCCAAGCCUUAGUUUGAGUUUUAAAAUUAGAACUCCCUGCAUUACCCUCAAGCCAAUCUUCUCUCCGCCUUUUAGUAACAACCAACAUGCGAUAAGUUGAUCACACAAUGAAUAUCCCUUUCUUUUUGAAGUUCCAAGCCAAAAAAUCAUCCAUCCGUCUAGUUCAUAAAGGAAUGCUCAAAAUAGCACUAGUGUCUGUCGCCAAAAAUGUUUGGUCCAGUACCUCUCUCUUCCAAGUCGCACUUGUAUUAUCAAUGAGGUCACUUACCAACACAGGAGGGUUAGCCGAAAGACAAACUAUCGGCCUCAUGGUAUUAUUUCUUGGUAUCCAAUUAUCUCCCCAGAUCCUUGUUGUGGAGCCAUCUCCAAUUUACCGUAUCUAUCCUUGACAAAGAACAUCACACCCUUCCAAUAAGGCACGCCACAGUUGUGAUGGCCGGCUGCCUAACUCUGUGGAGAGGAUAGUUCCAUUAGGAAAGUAAAUUGCCUUCAACAUACGCACACAACGUGGGUCCGAAUGCUGUAGUAUCCUCUAUGACUAUCUUGCCAGAAGAGACAAAUUAAAAAGCUCAAAAUCUCGAAAGCCAAGUCCUCCCAUGAAUUUUGGUUGAGUCAUCGUUUUCCAUGCAACCCAAGUAGGCCUUCUUUUUCUUUCUUUGCCCCCCCCCCCCACACCAAAAUUGCCUAAUAAGUUUGUUUAGAUGCUCACAAAGGGCCCUUGGCAAUUUAAAGCAAGAUAUAGAAUAAUCCGUCACCGCUUGUGUAAUAGAUUUCACUAGUACUUCCUUACCCGCUUGCGAUAAAGUUUUCUCAAUCCAUCCCUUCACCUUGAUCCGCAACCUAUCUUUCAAGUACUUGAAUGCUCCAAAUUUUGAAGUACCUACAUCUGAUGGCGUGCAUAGAUACUUGUCAUUCAAAGUCUCAUUUGACACAUUCAUAAUACCUUUGAUUUCAUCUUUGACAUUAGCUGGACAACCUUUACUAAAGAAGAUAGUUGAUAUAGUCGGGUUGAUCUUUUGACUUGAAGCUUGACAAUAUGAUUCCAACAGGUUUGAAUCCUCUGUCGCUCCUUGACCAUUUGCUUUGAAUAACAAUAGUCUAUCAUCUGCGAAUAAGAGGUGAUUGACAGGCGGUGCCGAGGGCGCCACUUGUAUCCCACCCAGUUGAGAUGACUCACUUAAAUUUUUCAAUAGGCUUGAAAGGUCCUCCACUGCCAACAAAAAUAGGUAAGGGGAGAUUGGACCUCCCUGACGGAUACCUCUGUUAGGUCUGAAUUCCUCUAGCUUCUUACCAUUAAAAAGGACCGAGUAUGAAACUGAGCUAACAAGAUUCAUAACAAUAUCAACCCAUCCGUGAGAGAAGCCCAGCUUCAGCAUUAUAGCUCUUAGAUAAUCUCAUUCGACCCUGUCAUACGCUUUCAUCAUGUCCACCUUGAGAGCACAAUGACGGUGCUUAACCGCUCUGUUCCGCUUCAUAAAGUGCAAACAUUCAUAUGCUACAAUUAUGUUAUCUGUGAUCAGAUGCCCAAGUACAAAAACAUACUGUUCUACCGAUAUGAUCUCUGGAAGUACCACUUUCAAACGGUUAGCUAUAACUUUGGAAGCUAUCUUAUAGAGAACAUUACACAAGCUAAUGGGGAGAAACUGUGAAAGGAGCACCAGACUUUUUCCCUUCGGAAUCAAGACCAAAUAUGUUUGAUUUAUACCUUCCGCACUUUCAUGGCCUUCUACAAUUUUCAGCACAGUAACCUCAGCUCCACAGACCGCUCAAAUUUUUUAUGAAAGAAGUGCGCAGGAAACCCAUCAAGCCCCGGCGAUUUCAUAGGAAACAUUUUAGGGCUGUUUCACCUCCCCCUCAGUAUAUGCCGCGUCAAGCAAGCUGCGCAUGUCAUUAGUAAAAACUGCUUGCAUGUUGGUGCAACCCUCCGACGUAUACAACGUCUUAUAAAAAUCCGUCGUCAUUGGUUCCAACUCAUCCACAUCCGCUGUUAACUUGUCCAUCCGGCCGAGCUAGAGCUUUAAUGUGGUUCUUCCUCCGUAGCCAAAUGUAGGACCAAAGUGUAUCGAUUCUUAAAUAUAGCGUCGAUGUCAAACAAACAAUGCCAAAUUUUUCUUGCAAUUAUAUUGAAAUAGCUAUAUUUUUUAUUAGCUUAAAUUAUAUCUAUGAACAACAGGCCCAUCAAACCAUCAAACGUCAAGCUUUGUAGUGAUUUCACUCCUAAAAUAUAUACAUACCGCUCUGCAUUCUCAUUAGUAGACCCGUUGGUUAAAACAAAUGGCUUCAAUUGUUAGGUAUAUUGGUGGUCUCUUCUUCCUCUCAUUCUUUAGGCAAUUCUAGACUUCUAGUUAGUAUAAAAGCAGAAGCAGGUAUAUCAUUUGUAAUUGAAUCUAACGUAGUCCCCGCUGAGUAUUGUUGAGGGGGGCCGACCGUCCUAAAUUAGUAUAAAAGCAGAAGCAGGUACAAUCUCCGUCCUAAAUUAUUUGUAUUAAAUUUAUCUGUAUACAGAUUUAUUUAAUAAUAAAACGUAUCCAGAUACAUUUGUAUGUAGACAAAUCUAAGAAAAAUAAUUUAAAACGAAGGAAGUAGUUUGUAUACUCUAAAUGUAAAAUAAUAUAUCUAUGUAGCAUACCUUUGGUUGAGAUUAGGCAGACCCACAAGCCGUGCUGUGACCUGUGAGAGGCGGAGACGUUUGCCAAUGAGUACAUCAGCAUGUAGUAGACUCAUACCAGCUGGCGGAAGCCGCACCUUCGUCGGUCAGCUCGUCACUGAUGCUGAUGGAGUGGUGGUCUGCCGCUCGAUUAAGCCCUAGCUCCGCCGCGGCGGCGGCGGCGGCGGCGGCCGCGAAAACGAUCGAGAUGGAGUUGCGCAACCAGAUGGAAAAGGAUGUGUACUGGUCCAAUCGAUAAGUAUUCUCGAGGCCUGCAGACCAGCACAUCGAACCGAUUAUAUUACGUGGUUUGUGGGCUAACAAUUGUGGGCUUGGGCUAUUCAACACUGCGUACGUAGAGAGGUCAGGCCAACGUGUUUGCUAAUGGCCAGAUAAUAAUUUAGGAAUAAACAAACUAGGCUUUUCACCUGAUAAGCAUAACGGAACCGAACGCAAAGCAAUGGCUUUUCACACUCAUGGAAACCAUGCAGCACCAUCAGUUUGUGCUCAUUGCUGUAACGUUAUGGGCAAUAUGGUCUUCUAGGCGCAAAGCAAUACAUGAGGGCAUUUUUCAUUCACCACAAGCGACUCAUUUGUUUAUCAAAAGAUUCAUAUCUGAGCUUGAUAUGUGCAAGGAAAGUCGCCCAGCAGCGCCUGCACCUUCCGCAAGAGGACCUAGACGACCACCAAAAAUACCCCCACCGGGUUUUGCAAAGAUCCAUGUGGACGCGGAAGUUCGCUCGGGUAGAAGAGGAUCAGCGGCGGCAGUCUGCAGGGAUAGACAGGGGAACUUCUUAGCAAGUUCAUCAUUGGUGAUCCAAGGUCUUGAAGAUCCAGCCACCCUCGAAGCGAUCGCAUGCCGCGAGGCACUGGCGUUAGCCGAGGACUUGCAUCUACAGAGCUUCAUUGUGGCAUCGGACUCAAGACAAGUUGUCUCAGAUAUCAACAAGGAUGUUCGGGGAAGAUAUGGUGCUAUCAUUAGUGAGAUCCGCCUUCAAGCAGAACUUUUUCAAUGUCUUUUUACUUUUGAACGUAGGGAAGUGAAUGUAGAAGCUCAUAGUUUAGCUAAAUUUUCUUUGUCUCUAGAUCCGGGACGCCAUGUCUGGUUUGGCCAAUCCCAUGAUCUAACCCGUAUCCCACAUGUUGUGGAUUUUGAUGAAUAAAGACUAGUUCUACCCCUAAAAAAAAAGAUAAUAAUUAGGAAUCCCUCAAAAAUAAUAAUAAUUAGGAAUAAACAAACUAGGCAACAUAUCCUCGUGCAAAUCCAACGUAGUCCCCGCUUAGUAUUGUUGAGGGGGGCCGACCGUAGCAUUGACGCUCGCCGCUGAAAAUAUUGCGUAUUUUUAUCCCCGUACGUGAGCCCAGUCCACCCUUGAUCUCUGCCUUUACAAAAUCUCUUCUCUUUCAUACAUCUCUACUAGCCGGCCUGUGACUUUAAUUUCUAAGUGACUAGGGUUAGUCCUUCCUGGAAGAUUUUUUAGAGCUUCGAGUUGCCGAACGAGCUGUUUGAUUUCUCUUCUAACACUCCCAAAAGUGUAUCUGUCCCAGCUAUGGAGAUGUUCCCCUAAGGCCAACUCCACCGCGCGACCCUAUUCUAUCCGGCCCCGUCCGUUUGGGGUAAAAGGGAUAAACUGGGCGGCCCAGCGCGUGGGAGCAAAUGGACUUUUGUCCGUUUUGUGUCCGCUUUCGACCCAUCGCCUGCCCAAGUUUGCGCCGCUUUUGGGGUGAAACGGACACCACGCGGACGCGCCGGCCGUCUGCGCGUGUCCUUCCCUGGCCCGCCCCUCGGUGGCACAGGGCGGGCCUUUUUCUAUCCGCCCCCUCCCUCCCUCCGGCCGCACCCCACUCCACUCUUCUCCACUCUUCCCCACCCUUUCCCUCGCCGCCGCCGCUGCCAUUGCAGCCGUGCAGCUCGGACGCGCGCUCGCCCGGCCCCUUCCCCUCGGCGCCGCCGAGCUACCCAACCACGGCCACAUGGUUUGCGCACCCGCCGGUCGGAUUUGGGGCGGAUCCGGUAGGUCUUGAGCUCGCCCGGCUGUGGGAGGCUGGGCCGCGCCAUGGACUGGCCUGCAGAUACUCGAAUGGCGGCCGGCCGGGCUCGGUGCUUGCCCAAAAGCUCAUCGGCGCACCGUUGCCACUCAUUAAGUGCAACCACUGCCCAAGGAUGGUCGUGCGCCGCGUGUCUACAACGCCGGAACAUCCCGGAUGGGUGUUCAUCAAGUGCUUAAACGAUGGGGUAUGUGCUCUUUUUAGUUUCGGUUUGUGCUCUCGGAUUAGACUAGUUGUGCUAACUUCAAAUUUUAUUGUGUAGAAUGGAUGCAAGUUUUGGUAUUGGGAAGAAGAGUACAUCGAUAUAUUGAUAGAGCGAAAUUUAGUACAUGUUCGUGCACUUUUAGCUAGCAUAGAGGCUGUAGAUGAGACAAGUGCACUUGUUCCUAGAUUAGAGGCUAGACAUGAGACUAGGUGUGAGGAAGCAACAUCGACUUCCGGCUUGAAGAAGAAAGGAGGGUGCAACAUCGAGCCUCCUCCACAGAUCAACAAUGAGUACAUCGAGAAGGCCCUAACCCAACUCAAGGGAGCAGUUAUGGAAGUUGGGUAUCUUCUAAAAUGUAUUCUUGUUGUUCUUUUUUUUUUGGCCUUGCUUUGCUAGUCAAAAUGUGAUGAUGUAUUGUCAUGUACCAAAAAUGAAUGAUAAAAAAAAUUAAGGACUUGCAAAGAAAAAAUGCGGCCGGGAUGCGGCCGCGCGCUGGGCGCACGGCCACCGCAUCCCAGGACACGCCCGGACACAACCCCAAAUCCCUACCCAAACGGACAGAAUCUGGACAAAACGGACGUCCGUUUGAAGACGCGCGGUGGAGUUGGCCCUUCAGCUUCUCCUGCAACUCUACUGCCGACGCACCUUUUGGCCUGCUGCUCCAUGUGCUUUCCACAAAAGUAUUCAGCUCAGGGUGUCGUUCCCACACAUUAGUUCAUACCUGAAGCUUUUUGGCCGCCGUUCGUCCGCAUUGUGCAUAGAGUUUAAUGUUAUUGGGCCAUGAUCAGUGCACACUGGUGCUACAUUUUCUAGUUCUGCAAAGGGAAAUAAAUAACUCCAUGCCGAGUCCGCUGCAGCCCGAUCCAGGCGCACCCUAGUGUAUGUUCCUCCCGAGACCUUCUCGAACGCCCAUCUUCUUCCUUUAUAUCCCAAGUCAGCAAGACCACAAAUAUCAAGGACAUCUCGGAAUUCAUCCAUUUUUCAUUGUCCCCUAAGAUUAACUCCUUCAUGUUCGGAUUGUGGAAGAACUUCAUUGAAAUCCCCUAGUGCCACCCAGGAGAGAUUCGACGCCCCUGCAAUGUCUCAUUGAUGAUCGGCAUUGGAGAUGCCCAUAGUACUAUUACCUCCGUUCGGAAAUACUUGACGUGGUUUUAGCUCAAAUUUAAACUAAAACCACGUCAUGUAUUUCCAAACGGAGGGAGUGCUUUUUUCUUCUUUUGACUGGAAAGGUGGGCGGUCCGACCAUUCUAGCAAGGUAGUGAAAUAGCAAAAACUGAGUAAAAGAUUCACUUAAAUGGCGCAAAGAAAAAGCAUAAGAGAGAAGAAACAUAAACUAUCCCUCCAGCGAGCGUGAGAGCUGACCGCCUCUGAUUAAUACCCAUUUUUUUGUCCAACUUAAAGUAUCACUAUUGUCCCCUUGAUAUACGUGUAAAGGCAAAAGUUCAUCUUCUUUUAUCAAUCCCAACUGCAGCCACAAACUCAAUGAUAAAAACAAAAUGAGCCACAAUUUCCAAGUUUACCAUCAAAAUCGUGGCAAAUUUGACAAAUUUGACCUAUAAACGAAAUCAAAUCACAGAAUGAACUAUCCGUGAAACUAUUUCACGCGGCUGACCUUUUUGUGUGACGCCCGUCACGAAGGCGCCACACUACACUGUGCAACGCCUCACAGAUAGUGUGGCGCCUAGCUCCUAGGCGUCGCACUAGUGCAGCGCCUAGCUCCCAGGCGUUGCACUAGUGCAGCACCUGAGAGCUAGGCGACACGGGUCAGCCGCGUGAAAUAGUUUCACAGACAGUUCAUUCUGUGAUUUGAUUUCGUUUAUAGGUCAAAUUUGUCAAAUUUGCCGAAAUCGUUGCGAACACUUCCAUUGCAAAUAGAAGUUCAUGCAUCAAAAAACAUCGUAUAAAAACCAACAGCAGUAGGUUCAUUAUGCAUCCCAUGGCUCUACAAUAAUGCGAAAACCAGCUCACCACACAACCAAACACAUGACAUGAAAUCAUCACAAACGAGGAUCUAGAGGGCAGAACACUACAGCUAUCAACUGGCCAACCUCUCCAUCUUCUCUCCUUACAUCUACUAAUUUAACCCGAAGCAGACAAUAGCCAACGGAGCGGCCAACCAGACCAGCCAAUGGCACCCAGCACUGGCCGGCCGGCCAGAAGGGUUACAGCCACAAACCUUCGUUUGCAAGCCAAGCCGAGACCCUCAACUCUCAACUUUGAAGUCUUCAACUCCAAGUACUAGUACUAUAUAUAACCCCUCAAAUGAUCUCUCCUCCUCCACCCAAGAUCACAAGCCUGACAACAUCGUCAUUUCUCUUCCAGCACCAGAAUAAUCCUUGGUAGCUCGGUGCAGCAGCAUCCUUCCCGGAGCAAGCAGAUGGCGCCAACUCUGAAGCUCAGGAUCCUCGCAGCGGCUGCCGCUGCCGCCGUCAUGGUCAGCACGGCCUCCGCGGCCGACGGACCAGCUCCCGCGCCAGCCUCUGGCGCGUCGGCGGCCGCCCCGACUGUCGCCAUGGCGUCCUUGACCGCACUCCUCUUUGGCUACUUCUUCUGAGGCAUUAGACGAAGUGCGUCGUGCGCACAAUCAUUUGGUAUCUUUCUUUGGUCGUCUCAUGUUCAUACAUGAUAUGAGUACAUAUUGUAAAUUUACAUGUUCAUUUUUCAUUUUCUAAUGAAAUUUUUUUUGGGGUACAUGCACUUGUAGCCGUAACUUAUCGGUUAUGUUGAUUUUACUUUGUCGGCUCGAACAAUCGCACAGUGCGUGUCCUCUGCUUAGGGAAACCCAGAUGAAAUUCCUCGAUUUUGAACGAUUUCCAGACAAAUAUAAAAAUAAAGUUCUUCUUGAUGCCGCUCUGUCUACCGUGAUGUAACUCCGGAAUGUAUCUGCGGAGACCCUAUGUUAUGAUGUCAUUUAGUCAAUGAAGUGCCAUAUUUGAAUAAACCAAACAUUUCGUCAAACACUCAUCAACGUCCUCUAUCACGGCCCAAUACGAAUCAAUGCUUCCACGCUGUGUUUGUAGAGGAGGUAGCCUACGCGGUGAUGGAAAGCAAGGCGACAACGAAAGCUGGGUUGGCGGCAAGGUUGGCCCCAUACACUGGCGCGUGGGUGGGCGCUUCAGCCGUUGAGGCUGUCCCGACCAGGGAGAGCAACUGCCGCUGCUGCAUCGAUGAGCCUCAACUAAAGUGGCCGCUGCUGCAUCGAUGAGCCUCAACUAAAGUGGCCGCCAUGCAUCUUGGGACAAAGUAACUUCCGCAAACAAACUUGAUCGAAAUGUUAGGAAGAAGAGGUGACAAGAAAGGGCUAGAGAGAGGAUUAUGUGCGUGUUGUGCAUUUUGACACAAAGAGAGUGACAUAUAUAAGUGCACGGGUGAUAAUUUGUUUUGGUAGGGCAGGCUGGAGUAGGAAUUAACAAGGGGGUUUCAUGGCUGGUGCUUAGCUCCUGGCCGCCUUUGCUUUAUUUUCAAGUCUAGUGUGCCAGUAACGAUGAGUUGUCGGUGUAUAUCUUUAAGCCGGUCCUGAGUUGGUUUGGCGAUGUUGAUUAUCUGAUUAGUGAUUGUCUUCUACAGAGAAAUGAUUANNNNNNNNNNNNNNNNNNNNNNNNNNNNNNNNNNNNNNNNNNNNNNNNNNNNNNNNNNNNNNNNNNNNNNNNNNNNNNNNNNNNNNNNNNNNNNNNNNNNNNNNNNNNNNNNNNNNNNNNNNNNNNNNNNNNNNNNNNNNNNNNNNNNNNNNNNNNNNNNNNNNNNNNNNNNNNNNNNNNNNNNNNNNNNNNNNNNNNNNNNNNNNNNNNNNNNNNNNNNNNNNNNNNNNNNNNNNNNNNNNNNNNNNNNNNNNNNNNNNNNNNCCCUAGCCGCCGCCGGGGCCUAGCUCAUCUUCCUCCCUUCCUCCCGCCGCCGCCGGAGGACGCCGCCGGCGGUGGCGGGGGCCCUUCCUCCCUCCCGCGUCUUAGGGGUGGCGGGGCCCCAACAUGCGUGGAGGUGCGGCUGAUCUAGAGCAACGGCGAUGACUUCGACGGCGGUGGUGGUCGGCCUGGCCUCGGCCACGGGCGGCUCCUUGCGGCGGCUGGCCUGGAUCGGGCGGCGGCGCGAUGCGGUCUUCGGCGAUAUGUCAUCUGGCCUUAGAUCGGCGACGGCGUCGAGGGCCUGGUGGACUGCUUGGCGGCACCUCUGGCAGAUCUGUUCUGGCCGGUGUAGCCAGUGGUGGUGGUCAUCUUCUUCGUCGGAGGUGGCCGGCCAGAGGGUUGGUGAUCGGAUCUCGAGAUCCAUCAUCUAGUCCCGGCUGCGAGUUGGGGAGACAUGGUUGCCGGUGAAAACCGAGCCGACGGCAGGCGAUGGCGGCGUUCUACGCCAUUACCUUGAUGAAGGCAUCGUCGCGUAACUAUUGUUGACCUACUCGUGCUGCUCCGGGGGAAACCCUAGGAUCUGGUGUUCCAGAUCGGACGAUGGCGGCACUGCGGUGUCGUUUCUCUCUUGGGAGCAUCGUUUGUGGAGCAGCGCUGCAAGUCAGAGGCAGGAGGUGGAGCGGCUUCAUCUUGCAAGGAGCUUCGGUGGAGAUGUUAAGUCAUGCCUGACCGACAGGUGCUGCGCUUUGUCAUGCCUGGUCGGCAGGUGCUACGCACGACAGAUCUUCCAAAGACUUCAAGCUGUGUCGGCUGGUGGUACUUGGCAGCAUGGUGCUGAGGUGUAUCAGUGGCGACCGCGAAGUGCUCAGCUGUUUGCGCGUAGGGAGGAGAUGCCGUUGGGCGCCGUGGUGGCGUCGACGAUAGCUGGACCGAGUAAGGUUGAUGCAUCAGUACAGUUCUGAAGAUGGAGCGGUGACAGUUGGCGGCGGCGGCCUCUGAGAGCACGCCGGACAGGUGAGUGACCCAUACCCGGCAGGCGUCCUGGAUGGGAGCUCAGGUCUUAGAUGUUAGGUUUGGCUGCGAGGUCCGUUUGGUAUUAGGCCGAGACUAUCAGCAUCCCUUCAUCAAUUGGAUAGGAGUAGCGACAGAUGUUGCCUAGACGAUGGCUUUAGUCUUAUUGUUGUAUUACUUUGUAAGGUCUUAUGUGAACAAUUAAUAAAAAUGGCUGUAUGCAUCAUCCAGAUGCAGAGGCCGGGGGUCUUCCUCCUUUUUGAAAAAAGAGAGAAAUGAUUAGUUGUGAGGCGGCUGCUGCUGCAAAAUUAUUUGAGCAUUUAGUGCAAAGGAUGUGUCAAUAUGUUACUGAGUUCUUCCACGUCUUGUUGUCUCAAUGUGUAUUUUCGUUUUGGUAUUUUUGAAGGCAGAUGAAUGCACAAAGGGAUGAACCCGAAAUACCCAACAACUUCUCCACCGAAGUUGCAUAUUUUCCACACUAAAACAAAACAUGAAGUUGCAUGUGCUUCUCUAUUUCAUGAAUGAUGAUAAAACUAUGAAAACCCAUACAUCACAAGAUCGCGACGGACGAACCUAACUACAUAUCGUACUAAUACAGCGACGGAGCCAGCAGGGUCCGAGUUGGGGCCAUGGUUCCCCCGCCCCCAUGCGGGAAAAAAAAUCCGCAAACUAGGGCUAUAAAAUAUGUGAAUUUAUGGACUUAAUCUUUAAAUUUAUAUGUAUGUCCCCCGUCAAUGCUCAACAUAUUUCAAUGCCCCUCCCCCCGGGCCUUAAACUUCCUGGCUCCGUCCCUGGUGGUGCGGUGGUGGAGUUGUGGGGUAGGAAAUUAAGAGCUUUUAACUACAUGGAAAAGUAGCCCCCAUCAAAGAAAGAAAAAAUAUGGAUUUAUUUUAUGAUUAUUUAGAAAUCAGAAUUAAUUAAUAAUGUACAAUAAAGUAGAUAAAGUACAAAAAAACAUAUGCUAGUAUGGAGAUACAUAUUUUACUCAUAUUUGAGCCGUGGUAUUAGUUAUUGAGUUGAUUGCUUGGGUAGUGUAUAGCAGCAAGGAUUUUUUUUACUAAGGUACGUCUCUCGGCCCUAGGUGCCCGGGGUUGGCGAAACCCAUGAGUCCACCCACCGUGGGUUCAAAUCCUGAUGCUAAUAUUUAUACGGUAUAUGGGUCUUCCAUAUAGUAUUUUUAUCAAAAUAAAUUACAUAGUCGGUGGUGUAAACUUGCACAUAGUGUGCCAUGCAUAUCGCCAUCACCAUGUCCAUAUUGUCAGAUAAACCAUAUGGAACGUGCAUGCAAGGCACCAACUAUUCAUAGCUUGGUCAUACUUCUCAAACACUAAAGCGUACACAUUCGAGUGGUUGAAUCAUUGAUAAUACGAUAUACGUCGGUGACCAUCUCUCCUCUAUAAAUACUUAGAAGGAAUCAUAGUGUGCUUGUAGGAAGAUAUGUAAAACUGAGAACGAUGACGAUUGACGAAUACCAAACGGCAUCGAGUCACCAAAACAUGUUCCGUUGGGGAAUGGGAUGCACUGGGAAUUCGAGCUAGAGAAGAGAAUUGGUUGGUAGCUCAUUUUCACCGAUGCUACUUCUAGGCCAAGACUAUUUUGGUGUGUCAGUGAGAGUCAGCAUGUGGGCUGCUCUCAAAGGAUCCACUGCACGGGAAAAGGCUCCUACAUGAGUUCUCGCAUCUGUGUUUUCAUUUGAGUAGCUACUCUUUGUUGGUACAAUAUUGAUCAACUAGACAUGAUUUAAUCCUCGCCAAAGGAAAGGUAGAUGUGGUCUGUUGAGCCCGCCGCAUGGGUGAUUGGAGCUUUGUUGCCAUGACAUGUGCAUCCAUCGUGUAGCUCCAUGAGACUAAGUUGUGGGAUGUAUCUCCUGUUUUGGUAAUAGAAGACUUAUGUUAGAAUAAAUCCGAGGCAUACCGUCGAUCAUCUGAGGACCAAGCAAUCACACGAGCACGACACUGAGAUUUGUUAACGAGGUUCACCGAUGUGGCUACAUCUCCGGGGCUUGACUACGGGUGCUCCUCCCCGUGACACCGUCACAAUACCGCACCCCGGCCACCCGGGCGCCGGCACACGCCGCCGGCUCCUCUUUUCGUGCCUGUGCUAUUAUGUUGGCAUAUGUUACGUCGUGUGUCUAUCCCCGCUAUAUAUGAGAGGUCUAGGAUACAAGUGUCCCAUUUGGGCACGAUUCCAUAUCCUAUCUAAACAUAAUACAACUCAGAGUCCAACUGUAACCUACCUUGUACACUAUAUUCGACACAACUCUAACAAACUCCACCUUGGCGAAUAUUAUCCACCACCUUGAGUCCGUCCAUGUGUCAAACUUCCAUGUACAUUGGACUUGAGUUUAUCCCAUGAGCACCGCUGCUACUCCAAAGACUCCAUAUGACUCCACCUGCAACUUGUAGUCCCUUCUUUUGUUAACCACAGUCAACGUUGGAGCAAAAUUAAGUUCCUCUUUACUCUAGUCUGUGCUCCCAACUUCCAGAGUAUCCGUCCAACGCCAUCACACACCGAUCACUGACCUGCGUGAAAGUGAACAACACACAUAUUGGGUGUCACACAUAAGAGUUACCUGAACUCAACAUCACCGCUCCUUUCUUGACCGUCUGUCUGAAACUUGAAAGAAUUUCACCAUUGCUUGUAGUCAUCCAGAGUCAAAUUCACAGUUGUCUCACCACAUGUAUGACCACCAGAGCCCUGGCCCGUCUCCAUGCCUCCCGUGCAUACCACACGUCUCGCCGUUAUUACCGCGUCGAGCCUCCACUGUCCUGGUCGAGCCUCAAGGGUCGCAAGACCCACACCACUCCACCUCUACUGCAGAGUACCACCGAUCAUCACCGACCGAUGACGAGUUUCACGCUUCCAUCUGAUCACUGGGCUCCAGUCCGAGCUGCAUGUCACCCGCUUUUCCCCCUUGCUGAGUAGGCUUCGAUUCCCUGGAUCCUUACAUCGUAGCCCUUCAAUCCAGCUCCACCUUCAACAAGACUCAAUGGUAGAUGAUCCGUCUACCCUCGCGCCCCGUCGACUUCAAGCUCACAUGUGCACUGUCUUGAAUCAACCCCACACCAUAGUCUUGUCAAAGCCGCACAAGCCCUCGGGGCCUGCACCACGUGUUUCCACGCCCAGAAGUCGGUCACCAUCAGCAUCACGCUCCUAUGUCGUCGUCGCUGAUCCCACCACCGUCUUCUGUACCAACCGAUUUGCGUUGAUCCCGUCAGACUGCCUAGUCCGACCCAGCCGAACUUGUCCGGCUACAUGACACGCUCAAGGCUCCCAAAUCGUCUUCGGCGAAUUUCCAUCCAUCACAUGAUAAUUCCAUCCCCGCUGACAUGACUUCCCACAACGCCUUCAAGCAUCCCUGUUGUGCCAACAAGUCUUUCACCCUUGCCUGCCAUAACCCAAGGUUUUCAGUCCCGUCGAACUUCUCCACCUCAAACCUGGUACCCGAUGGUGCCACAGUUCUUUGUACGGCUGAACCUGCGAAAAAUAUCUAAGAUUCUUACCACGAUGCACAAGUACACACAGCAUGCACAGUAGCAAAUCCAACCAAAAAUUGGCCUUCACGUGGUGUCUCCUGGCUCAAUCCCCAACGCUGGCUAGUUGCUUCCAAUGCCUCCUGAUGGACGUACUGCUUGCCGAUUCGAUCUGGCUGCCUUGCGUGGCACAUGAGGACGCGGUCCUCCUUUUUUUUGUCUCAAAAAAAAUCUCCGGUCUCUAAUCUUGCCUGCUGUACGCGACCAUAUCCAACACGAUCCGCCGCUUGGUCCGUGUCUCGCCGCCUGCAGCUUUGCGUUCCGCCAGCUGGGCCGGUGCCCAGCACACGCCUUUGGGCCUCCGCAGCCAGCGCCCGUCGACCGAUUGAUCGAUUUGCUGCCUCCCUGCCCUGCGCGACGCGUCACCGCUGCUACCUGUACGCUUGCCCGAUCAAACCAAGAUCGCCGUACGUCGAGCCGUCAUCACAAAAUUCCACUGAUCGCUGCAACACGGCGAGAUCGCCACGUAACUCUUCUGAUUUGCUUUCUCCGAUCACGCUGAGAACCACGCCAACCUGUGCAUCUCAGACUUGAUCUUCCUCUAAAUCAACAUUCCAUAGCCUUCGAACAACAUAGCUCAUGAUACCAUUUGUUAGAAUAAAUCCGAGGCAUACCGUUGAUCAUCCGAGGACCAAGCAAUCACACGAACACGACACCGAGAUUUGUUAACGAGGUUCACCGAUGUGGCUACAUCUCCGGGGCUUGACUACGGGUGCUCCUCCCCGUGACACCGUCACAAUACCGCACCCCGGCCACCCGGGCGCCGGCACACGCCGCCGGCUCCCCUUUGCGUGCAUGUGCUAUUAUGUUGGCAUAGGUUACGUCGUGUGUCUAUCCCCACUAUAUAUGAGAGGCCUAGGAUACAAGUGUCCCACUUGGGCACGACUCCAUAUCCUAUCUAAACAUAAUACAACUCAGAGUCCAACUGUAACCUACCUUAUACACUAUAUUCGACACAACUCUAACAACUUAGACACGUAUUUUGAUGGUUAUUUCUGCUUGCUGGCUGUCGAGACGAGGGACAACAUCUUUGUGGCUAGGAAGAGUUGCACGAUUGGAUUCAGCAAUGUGCACUCAUAGGACAACUGCAUUAUGGCUUUAGUCAUCCCAUCCUUUUGUGGACCACAUUUUUUUUAGAACGAAGACGCACGAACGCGUCCGGCUUUAAAUUAAUAAAGCCACAGCGGCAGCGUGAACAAGUCAUAUUACAACCCCACAUGCCUACCCGGCCAGCGCAAAAGGAUCAUCGAAAGAUUCAUGCGCGACUCAACCGAACCGAAGACAAAUUACAUGGCAUAGCCCGUACAGAGCGCGCAGGCUCGUCAAGCAACAAAAGGGACCAUGGACAGCACCAUAGUCAAGGCUCCCUAGCCAUCACGUAAACUUGCAGCAAACGUUGUUGAGCGGUGUUGAUCAACUCAGUAUCCCUGCGCCUCCCCAACGGACUCCACUGCUGUAAUAGAAGGUUGCAUUUGAAGAGGAUGUUAGCCGGAUGCGAAGGAAAGCAACCCUCAAUAGUAAAUUUGUUUCUAGUAAGCCAUAUAGACCAGAGAAGUGCCCCUACACAACUCCACCUCACCCGUUUAGCACUCCCGUGAAUCGUAUCUAAAAGGUGAGUAAGCUCUGCGGCCGAUCUGGGAUCCCACUGAACACCAGCCGCGGUCCGGACCGCGCUCCAAGCAAAUCUAGCAAGGGAACAUCUAAAGAACACGUGGCUGGCGUCCUCAGGCUCCCCACACAACGCGCAAGGGCCAGUGGCCGGCCCAUUGCGUUUGGCCACAUUUAAGGAGGUCGGCAGCUUAUCGCGAAACAAUUGCCACAUGAAGAGUUUGAUCUUCAAGGGCAACCGCGCUUUCCAUAGCCCAGCGAUCGCCUGCUGUGCCGUCCCUCGGCACAACUUACGGUACAAUGAGUUAGCCGAGAACUUGCCAGAACUGGUGAGCGCCCAGCUGACCGUAUCUGGUUCGUCCGCAAGGGUGAUCGGGUUAAUAAGGUGCAUCAGAGCCAAGAGAUUGGUCUGCUCUAACCCGUUUAGUUCUCGUUUAAAAUAGAUCACGGGAGGACUAGCCGCGAGCGCAGCCGCCACCGUGAUGGAUGGAUCGACGGCCAACUCGUACAAAUCCUGGAAUUCCAUCCAGAGAGGUUGGGCUCCCAGCCACCUAUCCGUCCAGAAUCGGGUCGAGCGUCUGUUCCCAAUCGAAAAUUUCGCCCCCAUGGCGAACGCCGGUUUGACCGACUGCAAGUCAUUCCAGAAGGGGGAGCCCCGUGCCCGCCCUUCGAAAAAAUUUCCACCUGGAAAGUACUUGGCCUUGAGGAGAUCAGCCCAAAGACCUGAAGCACCUUGGGCGAUUUUCCAAAUCCACUUACACAUCAAGGCGAUGUUUAAGAGUCUGGAAUUGGUGAUCCCGAGGCCCCCCAAGGCCUUGGGCCGACACACCCUAGCCCAUUUAACCAUAUGAUAUUUACGGUUUGGGCUGGUUCCUUCCCAAAAGAACUUGGCUCGGGGCGUGUCGAACUUCGCAUGAACCCCUUCUGCGAGAAGAAACAAACCCAUGGCAAACAUCGGCAAGGAGGAUAGACUGGAAUUCGUAAGAAUGAGUCUAGUCGCCUUGGAGAGGAAUUUGCCUCGCCAGGGGCACACCCUCCCGCGCACCUUGCCGCACAGCGGAUCCCAAUCCUCUAUCGUGGGUCGUUUGGUAUCAAUCGGUAGCCCGAGGUACGUAAAGGGAAAUUUUCCAACUUUGCAAUUAAACAAAUCCGCUAUACGUCUACCCUCGUCCGGCUCCACCCCCAUCGCAAUCAACUCACACUUGUGAAAGUUGAUUUUGAGACCGGACAUGAGCUCGAAGCUAAUGAGAAUCUCCUUGACCGAAGCUAUACUCUGAAGGUCCGGGCGAAACAUCAAAAGCGUAUCAUCCGCAUAUUGCAAAUGAGUCACUCCCCCUGGAAUGAGAUGGCCUACCAGCCCUUGGAUAUGGCCAGCCGCCGCUGCUUUCGAUAGCAUAGCGGACAACGCGUCAACAAUAAAGUUGAACAGCAGCGGUGACAUCGGGUCGCCCUGCCUAAGGCCGCGUUUGUUCCUGAAGAAAUGCCCUAUUUCUCCAUUCACCGACACUUCAGUUUGGCCACUCGAGACCAAUUGCAAGACACGAUGAACCCACACCGCGGAGAACCCACGACCCAAGAGCACUUGGCGCAGGAAAUCCCAAUUUACCCGGUCAUACGCCUUCUCGAAGUCUAGCUUCAGCAGAACGGCUGGUUCCUUCGUGCGUUUAAGCUCGUGAACAAUCUCCUGGAGAGCGAGCGGACCCUCCAGGAUAUUACGCCCACGAAUAAACGCGGAUUGGUUACGGUGGAUCGAGCGUUGGGCAAUCGGACCUAAUCGCGUAGCGCUCGCUUUGGCGCAGAUCUUAAAAGGCACAUUAAUCAACGCAAUCGGGCGAUACUGUCUAAUGUUGUCAGCCCCCUGAACCUUCGGAAUGAGCGAGAGCACUCCAAAGUUAAGGCGGGAAAUAUCUACCUGGCCCCGCAUGAAACCGUUACAUAUCUCGAAGAUCGGCCCUCUAAGGGUGGGCCAAAAUCGCUUAAACAUAGCAACCGGCCACCCGUCCGGUCCCGGUGCUGUGUCCACUUUCAUCCCCAUGAGAGCGGCGUCGAUUUCUUCAGGGAGAAACGCGAGCCCCAACUCGUCGUUCUCUGCUUCUAGAACGCGUUGGGAUCCCUCCCACACGUCCUCACGAAGGCCCGCUCCCUGGGCCUCACUUGUUCCCAUCAGGUUGAUGUAGAACUCGUAAAUGUGUCGCGAAAUGUCUUCUUGGCGCAACAAGAGCCCCUGCUCCGAUUGAAGCCUGAGUAUAGCGCAUUUACGACGCCGACCGUUGGCGUAUGCCUGGAAAUACUUGGUAUUGGCGUCACCCUUAAGGGUCCAUUUUAGCCCACUACGCCGCCGCCAGUAUCCUCCUCCGCGCGAAGUAGGGCUUCGACCUGCCCCUCAAGAGCGUAUCGAUGAGCCCACUCCUGCUCCGAGAAAACACGAGCAUCAGCUUGCGCAUUGAUCCUGGCGAUCUCGUUCGUGAUCAGCGUUCUGUGCUCCUUGUCCAUCCUCCCUAGGUUGGCGCCCCACCCCUUGAGGCUCGCUCUCAAUCGGCCCUCGACAGCAUUCCAGAAUUCCAUCGGGCCACGUUGGGGUCCGACCUGCUGCACGCACGCUAGCCAUUUCUCUUUGAAGAGCGACUUGAAGCCUGGCACUUCAAACCAGGCCGUUUCAAAGAAAAACCGCGGGCUGCGUCUCAGCCUAUCCUCCCCCGAGGAGUAGACUAGCGGGACGUGGUCUGAUCCAAUCCGUGUCUCAGCGACCAACGCGCACAUAGGAUAGCCCAUUUCCCACUCCGGCGACAUAAACACCCUGUCAAGCACCGAACGAACCGGCGCAAGCUGCUUAUUAGUCCAAGUAAAGUGCGCGCCCGUUCUGGCCACUUCCCUAAGUGCCAUGGCGGCAAUAGCCGCAUUGAACAUGGCCACCCUCGGCCAGUUAAUGAUGCCAUUAUUCUUGUCGGCUCCGGACCUAAUUAGGUUGAAUCCCCCCCCCCACGAGGACCGGGAGUGCCGCGGCAGUCACCGUAGUGACUUUCUGUUGGAGUUCUCCCAAGAACUCCGCCGAUCUGGAAUGAUUGGCAGGUCCAUAGACCUGAAUAACUACUAACUCGCGAAGCGUAGCACGAAUGCGAAAAUGAGCAGCUAAGAAGAAAGAGCCCCUAUCCCAGUUGAUAAUUUCAUACGCAUCGCGGCUUAGACCCAUCAACAUGCCCCCCGAGCGCCCUAACGCGGGAGUAAAGUGCCACUCAAAACGUUCUAACGGAUCUAGCGAAAGCAGCUCAUGGAAGCAGAAAUCCGUCUUAAUAGUUUCCUGCAAACCUACGAUGUCCACGUCCUCUUUGCGCAUGUACUCUUUGAGGAGGGUGCGCCGACCCUUGUGGCCAAAGCCACGGAUAUUCCAAAACAACGCUCGCAUCUAAAUGACACGAUUGCGAAGCAGUCCACCCCUAGAGGUGACCGCUUUCGCCACGCGCCUCACCUUGCCCCUGCAAGGCGAGGGAGAAGGGGCAACCCCUGUUGCCUGUCCCUCCUCCUCGGGCACAGAAAGAACCGCGAUGGCCCCUCCCUUGGGGCCCUCCGUCCUCUGUUCGGCACGCGCUGCAGCAGCAGCCGCAAGCGCGGCCUGCGCCAACUCCUUAGCGCGCACCAGAGUAAUCAGCUCUCGUUGACCACCCACACAAGCGGGGUCGACACCACUUGCAUCUAACACCUCCAUCANNNNNNNNNNNNNNNNNNNNNNNNNNNNNNNNNNNNNNNNNNNNNNNNNNNNNNNNNNNNNNNNNNNNNNNNNNNNNNNNNNNNNNNNNNNNNNNNNNNNNNNNNNNNNNNNNNNNNNNNNNNNNNNNNNNNNNNNNNNNNNNNNNNNNNNNNNNNNNNNNNNNNNNNNNNNNNNNNNNNNNNNNNNNNNNNNNNNNNNNNNNNNNNNNNNNNNNNNNNNNNNNNNNNNNNNNNNNNNNNNNNNNNNNNNNNNNNNNNNNNNNNNNNNNNNNNNNNNNNNNNNNNNNNNNNNNNNNNNNNNNNNNNNNNNNNNNNNNNNNNNNNNNNNNNNNNNNNNNNNNNNNNNNNNNNNNNNNNNNNNNNNNNNNNNNNNNNNNNNNNNNNNAGAUUUCCAUAUUCUUCUGGGCCUGAAGAAGUUGCGCCCGCUGCAAGGAAGGCAUGUUGCCCUUGGCUCCCUUGGAGCGCGAGCUCGUGCGCACCGGCACCGCCGACACCGUCUUGGUACGUUUGGCCUUGGAGCUCCGCGCCAUCAAGGAGGCCUCCUGCAGCAGCGGAUCAACGACCGGAGGAGCCGUCGGGGCCGCCAAUGCCAUGACGGACUGCCUUGGGGUGGGGGGAGCACCAAGAGGAUGCAUUGCGCGCACCGUCUCCGCGCUGACCUUGCGCACCGCCAUCUUCUUCAUCAUCUUCACUGAGCCACUGAGGGAUUUGCCGCGACCACCCGAAGCCGGCGACCUACCUAGAAUCAUGCGCGAAGGGCUGGGAGAGAGGGCGAUCGGAGAGCGUGCACCGCCCGCACCUGCUGGUCUCGACGGGGCCGCAACCAUGGGUGGAGAGGACACCGACCCCAGGUUGGACCCGUAUUGGUUGGGCACCGAAAGCACCAUCUCAGCAGAGCCCAUCCCCACAUCAGAAUGAGGCACCUCCAUCCCCUCCGCUGGCGCCGUAGCACCAGCCGCAGAGAUCCCCAGUUUGUCCCAAGCAGCCGUAUCAAUGGAAUCAUCCUCCUCCACACUCGCAUCUGGCUCCGGAUCCUUGCCCUUGUCCUUGGUCCUGUCUUUGUCUUGGUCACCCGGAUCCCCUCCGCUGGGUGGAGGGGGAGGGGGGAGAGCAGGGGCCGCUGGGCGCGGGGCAGCAAGCUCCGGCUCGAGCUUAACAUUGUACCCAGCCCCAUUGAACCAGAUCUGCACUGAACCUCGCAGCUUUGCCGGCGCCCGGCACACAAAGAGCAUGCGCACCGAACCCGCCCGGAUCAGGGACAACUCGUCCACCACCAGCGGGCGCCCAAUCAUCGUCGUCGCCGCCAUCAGCCUCUCCACCCGACGCUGCUUCGGCGGAAUGCCCCAGAGCUUCACCCACACCUCCGGCAUCGACAGCGCCUUGGGCUCAGUGAGAGCAGCGUCCCGGAUAUCGGCCGUGAUAUUGUUGAUGGAGAGGAAAAGCUUGCCACUGCGCGUCGCCAUCCUCAGCAUGGCCGGAUCGGGAAAAGCCACCGAGAAGGAAUCAGCGUCAAAGGGGGUGACCAUCCAAUCCCACUCGCCCUCGAAGAGAUGCGUGAGCUCCUUCUCCAGAAUCUCCUUGGACAGAACCCCCGGCUCCGCCGAGACCAGCGCCGCGUUGGCCCCUAACGAGCCCUCCGACGCCGCGUCCGCCUCCGCGGGGUAUUGAAGGCAGAAGAAGCCCCCGCCCGCGAACGCGUGCCCCAUGGAUUGGAGCAUCAUGGGCUUGCCGCGCGAGGGGCAGUAGGCCGAGGCAUGGCCCUCUUGGCUGCAGAUGACGCAGAGUUGCUUGAAGGUGCACUCGUUUUGGUAGUGUCCCGUGCGCCCGCACCGAAAGCACUCCGGCCCCUCCUCCACUUCGACAGGUAUAGGUUCCGCCGCCGUGUCCUUGGAAGAAGAAGGCUUCGACGGCUACUUCAUCGCGGGCUUGUGCUUCUUCAUUUUCUGCUUGGCGUAGGGGUCUCCAACGCGGUCGCCACCGGGCGGAAGGAGCGACUCCUUGCGCUUGAGCUCCAGCCCCUUUCUCUUGUGGACCACAUUGGUGGUUGACUUGCAUCUAUGGGCCGCUGGAGGGCGUGAACAAGGUUGCUUUCCUGGACGAGUUGUGAGAGGUGCGACCUGUCCUGUCGUACUCCUGAGUUGUCUGCGGUGACUUCAAUAUGAUAUAUAGCAAUGAGCACGAGAUCAAUGAAAACCUCCAUGACCGCAUGAUCGGGAGAUUCCACCGCUUCCUAAAUGAUUGUGAGCUCAAAGAGUUGUACUUUCAUGGUCGGUGAUACACAUGGUCCUGUGAACAUGGUGCUCCCUGGUUGGUCAGGCUUGACAGAGUGGUCUGCAUGGUGGACUGGGAGCAGCUGCAUCCUAGCUGCUCGAUGUAAUAUCUCUCCACCAUUAUCUCUGACCACUACCAGUCUACCACCUUCUCCUAGACUGCAUGCCGUGACCACCAAUGAUGAGAAAAACAUCAUUAUGCAUCCCAAAAACAUCAUGUCAAAAACCAACAGCAGUAGGUUAAUUAUGGAUCCCAUGAUUGUACUAUAAUGCGAAAACCAGCUCACCACACAACCAAACACAUGGCAUGAAAUCAUCACAAACGAGGAUCUAGAGGGCAGAAUACUACAGCUAUCAACUGGCCAACCUCUCCAUCUUCUCUCCUUAAAGCUACUAAUUUAACCCCAAGCAGACAAUAGCCAGCGAAGCGGCCAACCAGACCAGCCAAUGGCACCCAGCACUGAGCGGCCGGCCAGAAGGGUUACAACCACAAACCUUCGUUUGCAAGCCAAGUCGAGACCCUCAACUCUCAACUCUGAAGUCUUCAACUCCAAGUACUAGUACUAUAUAUAACCCCUCAAAUGAUCUCUCCUCCUCCACCCAAGAUCACAAGCCUGACAUCAUCUUCAGUUCUCUUCCAGCACCAGAGUAAUCUUUGGUAGCUCGUUGCAGCAGCAUCCUUCUAGGAGCAAGCAAAUGGUGCCGACUCUGAAGCUCAGGAUCCUCUCCGUGGCUGCCGCCGCCUGCGUCAUGGUCAGCACGGCCUACGCGGCCGAUGGACCAGCUCCGGCCCCGGCCUCCGGCGCCUCAGCGGUCGCCCCGGCUGUCGCCAUGGCGUCCUUGACCGCACUCGUCCUCGGCUACUUCUUCUGAGGACAUUAGACGACGUGGGUCGUGCGCACAAUCAUUUCAGAACUUUCUUUGGUUCUUCUCGUGUUCAUACAUGAUAUGAGUACAUAUUGUAAAUUUGCAUGUUCGUUUUUCAUUUCAAUAACAUUUGUUGGGGCACAUACUUGUAGCUGUAACUGAUCUUCCCGCAAAAAAAAAACCCUGUAACUGAUCGUUUCUGUUGAUUUGACUUUGUUGCAUAUCCUGGUUCAGUCUUUCAAAUUUCAACUUGUCUAUUGCGGUGCCUUAGUUUCUCGAGCAAUUCACCCAGCUUCUUAGACAAACCAAGAUGAAAUUCCUCCUCGCAAAAAAAUGAAAGAAAGAUGAAAUUCCUCAAUUUCGAAUGAUUGCCAAAGAAAUAUUAAAAAAAAUACGCCGAAGCUUCCAAGCUAAUCAAGACUACCUGUUAGUAAAUACAAAUACAAGACAUUUUUUUCUUGAAAAGGGGGCAUACGCGAGGCUUCUGCAUCAUUUGGAUGCACACAACCAUUUAUAUUAAACAAAGUGCAAGCCAAAUGAUCCCAACAUUGAGUACGUUGAGUUCUUGAAAUCAAAUAAUGUGUUAGCUGCGCUGGUUGUUAGCUGUCUCCAGGGCUUGAAAUAUUUAUUUUAUCAUUUGUCGACCCCAACAGUUUCACCAGCUCGCAACAGCUGGUUGCUAAUUCAACUUUCAAAAAUUUCUGGGUCAAUCUUAAAUCUUUGUAAAUGUUCCUUGAAGUAGUAUUAAGCCCGCUUUAUGAAUAAAGCUAAACGACCAAACCGAUUCAAGGUGAUGAGAAAAUCCUUUUACAAAGCAGGUCAAUGAAAAAAAUGACAGACGAGCGAAUAGCGAAAACGCCACCAACUCAAAGUCGAGUAUGAAUACGUGGCUAGCCACACCCCACGAAAGCACUCGAGACUAUCGACUAGGAAUGAAACUGUGCGUCCUCGAGAAACCAUCGGACACCGUUGCACCACACAGACUAAGCUAUUGCCGGAGAGUGCCACCUGCCCUCUCGCUCCGGACCGCUUAGCGCCGAUCCUGCUUGCGGAUAGCGAGGACUGUGAUGUCACAUGUAGAAGGCACGAGACAAACACCCUACUAAGUAUGACUGUCCAAGAAGGCAUUGCCAUGGUAGAACGAAGUGUUGUUUCUUUUAAAUAGACUAUCCCACUUUUAUCUUGGACCACUUAUUUGUCAUUUUGAAUGGUGACCAAUAUACCUGCCUUUAGUAAAUAAGAUAAAUUUAGGAAGUUUCCAUGGGUGCAUGCCAAAGUUUAGUAAUUUUGUUUUCUAAAAAACAUGGCAAAUUUAGGGAUUUUCCAAGCUACAUAAGAUAAAUUUGCCACACUUCCAAUAAUUGCCAAUGGUGUAUACAAAUGAAAGAUAUGGUAGAGUGAACUUUUCAUAGAAUCUACAAUAAAAAAUACCAGGGUGAAUACAGAAAAUUUGCCGUGGUCCAGUUCGAACAGAAUACAACCCUAGAAAAUAUUCAAGAAAAACUAGAUGGGAUGAUGCCAUGAUGCUAAAAAAUACAUCACAACGAUACACUAAAUUUGCAAUGAUACUAAAAAAUAGAUCAGGGGAAAAUGUGAAUAAAAUUGCCAUGAUGCAUACACACACUACUUGGCGUAAUGCAAAGAAUACAUCAUGGCAAAAAUCUGUCUAAAAUUGCCAUGCUGCACACACAUUACUUGGGGUAAUGCAAAAAAAAAAGUUUACGCAAAUUGUUUUUGCAUGUUGCAAAAAUGUAUGUAAAGUUGCCACAAACGCAAAGAAACUAUAUGCCAUGACUCUCAAAGAACACAUCAUGGUGACUCACUAAUUUACCACGAUGCUAGAAAAACACAUGGCAGAUUGUGUAUAAGUUUGCCAACCAGAAUACACACUACUUGAUACGAUGCUCAAAAAACACAUCUGUGGCAAAUUAUGUGUAAAAUUCCAUGAUGGAAAAUUGUAUAUAAAGUUGCAAUAUGCAUACAAACUACCUGCCAUGAAGGUCAAAAAACACCUAAUGACAACACAAAAAGAUGAUGGCAAAAAUUAGAAAAUUAUUGUGGUGUUUUGCGUGGCAACUUUAGAAUUUUUUUUUGUUCCAAAGAUGACAAAUUCAAAAAUUAUGUGCUAUCUUAAGAUGGCAAAUUCAGCCCGCAAAAAAACAUGGCAAAUUCAUAAAAAAGAUUGAUAUUUAGGGAAAUAGGUUAGUCCCAGAUCACAGUCAAUCCACCAUGACCCACCGCGUCGUAGGCCUCCGCCUAUCGGGCUAGCUGUGUUUUAAACUUGGUUAGCCUCCCGAUAAAACUAGAUCAUGUUUUCACACGGUUUGAUGCGGAGGAGAUCCUUAAGAUGCCUUUGUGCACGAGGAUAGUAUUGGAUUUCUGGGCUUGAUUGGCAUGAGGAAAGCUGGGGCAUUUUCAUAGUUCGGUCGGCAUACCGAAUGAUCAUGCGCACAAAACUUAGCAGAGGAAGUUGGAUUGAAGACGAGGCAGGAACUUCGGUCUCCCAGUCAGAAAGCAAUUAGUGGACAUCUAUAUGGCACAUCAAGGUUCCCUCAAAACUGCGAGUUUUUGCAUGGAGCCUGGCAAGACAAUCUAUACCCUGCGGGGUUCUGCUAAAUCACCGGAAUAUGGCAACAACCUAGACUUGUAUGUUGUGCGGGGCUCGUGAUACUUGGAGGCAUGCCCUACUCUCUUGUCCGAUGGCAGGGAGCGUGUGGGCGCUAGCUCCUGAUCAUAUAGUCGAGACCAUGAGUGGCCACACCGUGGAAAGUGCAAAGGAUUGGUUGUUUGCCCUACAUGAAAUACUAGCCACUGAUGAUUUUUUCCGAUUAGUGGUAUCACUAUGGGCGAUCUGGGGAGCAAGGAGAAAGGUCAUUCAUGAAGAUAUAUUCAGCCACCACAUACAGUACAACAUUUUAUCAAUUCUUACUUAUUAGAGUUACAGGUGAUCAAUGCGAGAGCUCCAGCUGCACCGGCUAGUACUAUACCGCAGCAAAUACCUCACUGGCUCCCGCCGGAGGCAGGAUUUGCUAAGCUGAAUGCGGACGCGGCGGUGUCACGUCAUGGUUUUGGGGCGAUUGGAGUGAACUGCAGGGACCAAAGAGGUGGCUACAUGGGCGCUUCUGCCAUUGUUUUCAGAUAUAUCUCAGACCCAACAACACUUGAAGCAUUGGCAGUUAGAGAAGCUAUGGAUCUAGCGGAUGAUCUCUAUAUCUAGAGAAUUCAUGUGGCAUCGGAUUGCAAGGUGGUGGUCGACGACAUUCAGAAGCGAAAUAUGGCGAGUUAUGGGGCUAUAGUUCAAGAGAUUAUAAGCCAUUCUCUUUCUUUUACUUUUUGUAAUAUCGUUCAUGAACGUAGGAGCUCAAAUAUUGAAGCUCACAAUUUAGCGAAGCAUGCACUUACCCUGGGAGGUGGCCGUCAUGUUUGGUUAGGUCAUCCAGGAGAUCUUCCAUCCGCCCCUGUAAACAUUGUGACGAAUUAAUAAAGCUUCGUGGAAUUGUCCAAAAAAGAAAACUAGAUCACACUACUUGAAUUUGUUGGAACAGAAUCCUUUCUUAUAGGGAUAUUAACGUCACCCUUGAAACUAAUCUGCAUCAAAUUUCACAGGAGAAAGUAAAAUUGGUGCUAGUCAUGAAGCACAUGCUUCCUGCUCACGGCCACAAUAAUAACUAAUAGCCUUCUUUUAGUGGAAUCUUCUUCAAAAAAUAAAAGAAAUAAUAGAACAAUGCAUCUAUCUCCGGACAACCUUCGUUAUAAAAGAUGUGUAGAAUAGCAUAGAUCCAACAUGAUACCUCUCCUGUGAAAUUUGAUCCUGUGAAAAACUAGAUCACACUACUUGAAUUUGUUGGAAAAAAUCCUUUCUUAUAGGGAUAUCACACGUCACCCUUGAAACUAAUCUGCAUCAAAUUUCAUAGGAGAAAGCAAAAUUGGUGCUAGUCAUGAAGCACAUGCUUCCUGCUCACGGCCACAAUAAUAAUUAAUAGCCUUCGUUUAGUAGAACCUUCUUCAAAAAAUAAAGGAAAUAAUAGAACAAUGCAUCUCACUAGUAGAAAACUUGGCUUCGGUCACAAGGCAAUAUUCACAUUAGUCCCGGUUCAGUCACGAACCGGGACUAAUGUGAGCAUUGGUCCCGGUUCGUGCGGCUAGGGGCCUGCCGGGCCUCGUGGGGGCAUUGGUCCCGGUUCGUCCGGACCCGUUGGUCCCGGUUGGUGGGACAAACCGGGACCAAUGGCCACGCUCCUGGCCCACCACCCUUUAGUCCCGGUUCCUACCACAAACCGUGACUAAAGGGAUGGUCCUAGUUGCGGCCAGUGUUUAGUCCCACCUCGCCAACCGAAGGGCGCUCACACCAGUUUAUAAGCCCGUCCCUCUAUGCCUUGUUGAGCUUCUCUUAAAGUGAAAAUAGAUGCCCUUAUACAGAGAAUUUCACCUAAAUUCAUAAUAAAUUUCAUAGAAAUUUACUAUGAAUUUAGGUUUAAUUUUCUCUAUAAGCGCAUCUAUGUUCAUUUUUUAUAUUUAUAAAAUAAAUAAACCUUAAUAAAAUAAAUAAAACUAAACAAACCUUAAUAAAAUAAAAUAAAAUAAACUAUAGUAACUACAAUAAAUAAACCUUAAUAAAUUAAGUAAAAUAGCAGCAGUAAAAUAAAUAAAAAUAGCAGCAGUAAAAUAAAUAAAAAUAAAAUAAUUAAAGUAAAAUACAUAAGUAAUUAGAAAUAAAAUAAAUAAGUUUUUUGUUGUAAGUAGAAACAAAACAAAACAAAUAAAGCAAAAGAGAAAAAAAAUAGAGGAAAAAAAAUUAUGCCACCUACUGGGCCACCACGGCCUGAAUACGACUAGAAACCCAUCCAUGGGCCAGGAUUCAGGCCCGCAGAAGGCCCAGUAGGCCCACAGGCAAAUAGUGACAGAAUAGGCCCGUAAGCCUGCAUUUGAGAGGAGCUCGAAGUGGUCAGGGCAGCUGUGCUUAUAAACCACUGUCGAAGCCUCUCAGCUAGCGAGGUGGGACUAAACAUCCCACCGCACCGCGCCAGUUCCGGCACAAGGCCUUUGGUCCCGGUUGGUGCCACCAACCGGGACUAAAGGGGGCAUUGGCCCCGGUUCGUGGCACCAACCGGGACCAAAGGCCUUUAGUCCCGGUUGGUGCCACGAACCGGGAUCACUGAGUUCCCUAUAUAUACCCCAUCGCCACAGCAGAGCACUCCACAGUGCUCUGUUUUUUCUGGCCGGCGAGGGAAGGGCAUUUGGGUGCUCUAGCUCACCUCCUAUGCACAUGAGGUGUUCGAUGAAAUGUCUGAGCCACACUAGUUAACCUUUGUCCUCUCGAAACUCGACCUCCGAGCUCCAUUUUCCCCGAGAUUUGUCUAGGUUUAGCGGUCCGUCACGUCCCGUCCCCGUCUUCACCGCCGUGGAUCGCCCGCGCCGAUCUCGUCGUCAGCACCACCGUGGUGAGCCUCUUGUUCUUAUCUUCUUUCUGAAAGGAAAAAAAUUCUUACUUUAGAUAGUUACUUGUCUAAUUUUGUUACUUUUAUUAUCCCUUCUUAUUACAUAGUGCGAUGGUUUUGGUAUCCGCCCCCGUCGGCCCUCGUUCUGUCUAUGAUUCGGAUGUGGUAUAUAUUAUCUUUUUAUAACUAUUUGGUUCAUUUAUUGUUUAUGACAAAUAUACCGACCAACGUGACAUAGAUUUUAUUUAUCUAGGAGGUGGUUGAACCGGAAAUUCUAACCGACCCUAUUGUCGAGAGGUUAAAUUUAGUUGAAGAAGAAAAC